CUACUUUAUUCUUCUCGUACUGAUCGAUUCGAUUCAUCUCGUAUUGAUUCAUAGAUAGAUAGAUAAGUUUUCGUUGUUAAGCAAGAUCUUUGUUUACUUUCUUCUGCUAUGAUUAUGAAUGUAGAGUUUUUUUUUUUUUUUUUUUUUUUUUUAAUUUUGUUGUUUGUACAGUUUGAUUGGUUAUCGUUGUUUGCAUUCUUCUGCAAUCUUACUAAUGUUUCUGCUAUGAAUCUAAUAAGGUUUAUUGUCCAUUGUUGUGUUGUUUGUACUAGUAUACUACUAUUUCAUGAAGCUAUUAAUUAAAACUUCGUUUUCAAUUUACAAAUAACUUUUUCUGUUCUUGUGUUGGAAAUAUUACCUCUGCAUUUGGCUUGUUUAAUGGUAUUUUGGAUUUGAUUUGUUGGUUCAAAAGUCAGGGUUGUGCUCCUGUUAUAUCGUUUUAGAUUAAUUUGUCCCUAAAGAUUUAAGCUUUUCAAUCCAUAUUUGUUUUGGUUGAUUAAAAUGCUCUGUCCUGAUUUUUCAUCUUGUGAAAACAACCCACACACAGUAGGGGGGUCAUUAAGAACAGGACAUGGAGAAUAUAGAUCACCAAAGAGAGUAGACCUUGAAUGGGGUCACUACUUCAGACCUUGUAUUAUGUGACCCUUGGCCAUGGUGUCCGAUCUUAUGUAAAUAAAGGUCUAUGUUCGGUGUGGUGAAAGAACCUCCAGUCCUGUAAUUUAGUAUCUCUCUAUAGUGUGUGGGCUGUCCGAUCUUGUUGUUGUUGUGAGAAGUUGGAAAUAUUACAUCCGAAUUUGGCUUGUUCAAUUGGAUUUUGGAUUUGAAUUGUUGGUUCAAAAAUCAAAAGUGAGCGUUGUGCUCCUGUGAUUUCGUUUUCAAUUAAUUUUGUCCCUCGAGAUUUAAGCUUUAAAAUCAAUAUUUUUUGUUUUUUUUUUGGUGUGAUUGAAAUGUUCAUUGUGUAUGUGAUGUGAUUUUUCUUUAUGAGAAAACAACCCACACACAGUAAGGGGGUUACUAAGAACAGGACAUGGAGAAUAUGGAUGACCAAAGAGAAUGGCCUUGGAUGGGGAAAAAACAUAGGGGUCACUACUUCAGACCUUGUAUUAUGUGACCCUUGGCCAUGGUGUCCGAUCUUAUGUAAAUAAUGGUUUAUGUUCGAUGUGGUGAAAGAACCUCCAAUCCUGUGAUUUAGUAUCUCUCUAUAGUGUGUGGGCUAUCCGAUCUUAUUGUUGUUGUGAGAAGUUGGAAAUAUUUUGUCGGAAUUUGGCUUGUUCAAUUGGAUUUUGGAUUUGAAUUGUUGGUUCCAAAUUCAAAAGUGAGAGUUGUGCUCCUGCGAUUUCGUUUUCGAUUACUUUUGUCCCUUGAGAUUUAAGCUUUAAAAUCAAUAUUUAUUUAUUUAUUUUUUGGUGUGAUUGAAAUGGUAAUUGUGUAUGUGAUAAUUUUUCCACAGAAAUGAGGAUUAGUCUAACAAUUCUCGGAGUAUACCUUUUGUUCAAUAAGUAGUGUAAUUAUAGGCAGCAUUGGUUGUGUUUUUAGUUAUGUGUAUUAUUUGAUUAAAGAUGAGCAUUUAAGGUUAUGCUUAACUCAUUUGCAAACGUGAUCAUGCUGUGUAAAUUCAGAAAUGCUUUUUGAGAUAUUUCAUUUUGUCUUGGCAAUGGUUUCAACUGAAACCGGCAAGAAGUGGUUUGACAUCAAUUUUGUGACAAAGUGUCCUUGGUUAUUUCGCCUUGAGUUCAUUGUUAAGAAAACCUAGUUGUACGCGCGUCGUCCCGUGUCCUUGUCUUCGCGUCGUGUGUCAAGUAUCGUGGUUUUUGGUUCAGGACGUACGUACCGUACGUCCAAGUAGUCAGCAGAACGUUUAUCUUGAUAAACGUACGUACCAUGUAAGGACGUACGUACGUAUGGAUAGUCAGCAGGGAAGUUUGCAUUCUGGACGUACGUACCUUUACAGGACGUUCGUACGUCCAAGUAGACAGCAGGCUUAUUUUCGUGUGGAGACUUACGAACGUCAUAUAGACGUACGUACGUCCAAAGUCGGUUUGCACUAUUUUGGCCCACUUUCCUUGGUUUCCAACCCUAAGUAUAAAUAGGGUUUCUCUUCCAAAGAACAAGUCAGUUCUUUGGCCGUCCAUUGUUCUUCUAGUUCUUGAGUUUUGGUUUUAGGUUUUGGUGUUAAAAGUGUGUUUGGCUAUUGAACUCAAUUUCCUUCCUUCCCCCUUCUCUCAAUUCAUAUCUUUGUGAUCUUUCAAGAGUGAUUGUGAUUUCGGCUUCGAGUCUUCUUGUGUGUUCAUCAAGAAGUCGAGUGUCUUGUGCUUACAUCAAGGUGCUCUGGUGAAGUCAAGGUGUUAGAGAUAACCAGGAGUAUCAACUCGCAGUGAGUGCAGGUAGUUGGUAGGUUUGUACAUCUCUUUUCAUCUAGUGGAUUAUUUGUUGUCGCGAGGACAACCGUGGACGUUUUCCUUUUCGGGUUUUACCACGUUAAAAUUUUUUGUGUGUUAUUUACUUUCUGCUUAUAGUUUGAUUGUUUGGUUGAAUAUUCAAUUGUUAUAUUAGCACUAUUUGUAGUUUCUCAUCAACCGCUAAACUUAAUUUCCGUUGGCUGCCGUAACUCAUUAUCAGUUUUGAUCAUAAGCAACGGUAGUGCCACUAACUACUAGAAAAUGACCUAAAUAACUCAGUUCAAUCACAAUGACGAACAGGGUUUAGCUGAUGACAGGUGUCAGAGUCUCACAGACAAAGCUCGGAGGCACUUCUGCUGGUGCUCAAUAUGCUCUUGAAUAGAAAAAGUCUUACAGGCAAAAGUGUUGUGCAUUCCAAGUUGAUGACUACAAUCGUCGUUGAUUUUUUAAUGUACUACAGGAUGUUGAAUUUGUAACACGAUGAAUUGUAGUUUGUUACAACCUUUUUAUGUACUACAGGAUGUUGAAUUUGUAAUACGAUGAAUUGUAGUUUGUUACAACCUAUUUAUGUACUACAGGAUAUUGAAUUUGUAAUACGGUGAAUUGUAGUUUGUUACAACCUAUUUCGUGGAGGACAUAUAUAUUAUUAAAUAUGUUCUUUUUAUUAUGUUUAUAUUGUUGUUUUGGUUUGAAAAAAUGAUUUGUACAAUUUAUUUAAUGGAAUCUCGCUCAAGCUUGUUAUAUGUCUUUUACGUUCAAGCUUGUGUAAUUCUUUGAGUUUAUCAAUAAAAAUUAUUAUUUUGAGAAAAAAAAGUUGUUAAAAAAAAUAGAAAACAGAAAACAGUUUUCUAAUUUUUAAAAUCAAGUGAACACGUUUUCUAAUUUUCCAAAAUUUUCAUUAGAAAAAGAAAACUAGAGAUAGAAAAGAAAAAUGGAAAUGGAAAACUGAAAACAGUUUUCCCCAAGUAAACAGGCCCCAUCUCUUAUCUGUUUUCUUCUCUUCUUCCAUUUCUUCUCUGAAUCUCUCUGCUAUCUGGACUCUGGAGAGAUAUAUAUACUCCUAUCUGUCUGUUCAUGUUACAUGCAUUGAACAGUUGUGAGCACUUGCUUGCUCUCCAAUUUGUUUUCCAACCAUUAUUGAUGUCAUGGGCCCCGUAGUUGGAUUACUUUUGUCGAUCCAUUGAAUGGAAGAAACAACAAGCUCAUCAUUAAUCAACAAAAGUACUAUUAAUCUAUUAUCAUAUUCCAAAGUCAUUUUUUUGUGACCACAUACAAUGGUCUCCUAGUGCUGAUGGGAUGCCUGGUAUUGGUGUUGUCAUUCUAAAUGAUGAUGGUUCUUUCUUAGCAGGAUUAUGCAAGUAGGCAAAAAUAAGCCACCAUAGAUGGUUCUUUGGUGUUAAGGCAAUUGCAAGAUUGAAUAGAUUUUGGUUUUGGUCUUUUGGAAGAGGAUGGUACAAGGUUAAACACAAAUUCCUUUAGAUCCACCAAUAACCAAAGUAGUCAUGCCUCGGAGUCAUGAAUUACUGUAUUUGGCUCUUGUUUUUAUCAUUAUUAUGAAUUGUAUUCUACAUAUGUAUAUGACAAAUCAGCUCAAACAUAUUACAUAUGCAUCAUGUAUGGUUACAUUUACUGUUGAAACUUAACGUUGGUUGGUACUUCAGUUGGGUAAAAUCCGUUCACCAGUAUCCCGCCAUCGACACAAAUUACUUGGCCUGUAAUGUAUGAAGCUGCAGGUAGACAAAAAUAAGCCACCAUAGAUGAAACAUCACUAGGUUCUCCCAGUCUCCUCAAAGGAGUGCGCGACAGAAAACCAUCCAGCAUUUCCGUAGCCUUGAUGCCCUAAAGGACCAACAAGAAAACCAAAGAAAAAAAAUUAAUAAUAGUUUAAUUAGCAUACACCACAUAAUAGCAAGAAAUGGCACAAACAGGAAUAUCAAUAUCUAUCUUUUAAAAUAAUGAAAACGCAAUUAUAGUAGGGCAGGAAAUCGAUCUGUCGUCAAAUUUAAGUUACACUUCUAAGAUUAUGUAAUCCAAUACACGAAAGCAGAGGCUCUUACCUCUUCAACCAUUGGAGUCCUGAUCAGCCCAGGAGCAAUAGUGUUGAUCCGGAUAUUAUCUUUUGCCCACUCACACGCCAAAGUCCUUGUCAAUUGAAUUAAUGCUCCUGAUACAUAUUGUACACAUUCAUUUUGUCCUUGUCAAUUGAUUAUAUAUAUAAUAAUGUGGUAAUUAUAUUGUUGUGGUAAUUGUUGUAUGAAAUGUACCCUUGCUUGCAGCAUAUAUUGUUCCUGAAAAGAAACCGGAUAAACCAGCAACAGAGGAGAUGAAGACAAUGUUUCCAUUGCCAGAGGCCUUCAACAGUGGAUGUGCAAGUUGGCACAAAUGGUAACAUGAUUCAAAGUUUGUAUUCAUCAAAAAAGAAAAGUCUUCUGCUGUGUAUUCAGUGGUUGGUUUCAAUAUACUUGUUCCUACAUUGCUUACCUGCGUCACACCAAGAAAAAGAUUAUGUAAUGUCGCAUAAAACCGUCUUGGACACCUUUAUGUAAAAUAAUGUUGGAUGCCAUGAAAAAUAAACAUCUACUGUUUCAUAAAUGUAGAACCAGUAAGAAAACACUUACAAAAAUAUUGAGUUUCCCAUUGAAGAUGGACGAGACGUCUUCCAUGAGUUUUUCUCGUUGCUGUCGCACAGAUAUGUCACAGACUGAACCUGUGACUCGAAAUCCUAACUCUUUCCACUCUUCUAUAACUUGGUUGAGUUGAGUUUCACUGCGAGCACAGGUGUACACUGAGGCACCCAAACUGGCCAACUCCUCCACUAUAGCAUGCCUACAUAAAAAAAUGGAAGUUUGUUAGAUUUUUUUUUACUGUUUACCAGCUGCAGGGUACAUCAGGACAGAGUUUAGGAGCUGUUCAAGAUGGGAGAUGAGAUGGUAACUGCUAGUACAUAGGGAAGAGGGAUCCAGACACGCGUAAGCUGACAGGCCGGGUGUAUGCCGAGUUCAAAACUGAAUAGCUGAUGCUGCUGCAGCUGCAAGGCGUGCUGGUAUCUAGGGUAAUUAGUAAUGUAUUAUGGGGAGUCUGUUCGGUUGUGAUGUUCUUGAGAGGGCAUGUCCUCUCUAGUCCUUUUAAGCUGACAGUGCACAUUGAACUGGCUAGCUUGGAACAUGUUCUUGAGAGACUACUAAAAAAAUAGACGAUAAAACUAAGAACGAGAGAAUAUACCCAAUUCCUUUAGAUCCACCGGUGACCAAGGCAGUCAUCCCUUGUAGAGACCAUCUCUUGUUAGUGUUCUUUUCUUCCAUUUUUCUGCUCUUACAGUUAGAAUUGUGUGUCUCUACCUAUAGGCACUUAUGUGUUUUUAUACUAAAAUGCUGUUGAUUUUCAACAUAUUCUGUGAUAUUUAGAUGCGACACGACACGACUCAUGUGAAAGAUUUUUUUUUAUUUCCCUCUUUUUCUUCAAAAUUAAAUGAUAAUUGCCAGCCACUUUGAGUCAACAAAUGACGUACUUUGUGCUUAAAUCAUUCACUCUUGUUUGGAUCUGGUUGGAAACCUAAACAUGUAUACCCAUUAACCAUUCAGGUUCAACCUGUAUCUUAAUUUGUAAUUGUUCAUACAUUUAAGAUUGCAUGGCAGUACGUGCGAGCAGCAGUCGACACAGCAAGACUAAUCCAAAAGGCAGUUUAGGUAGAGCCUAUUACAAGAACAAUUGUUAUAAAUUGGACACCAACUUCAUAUGUGGAUAUAAGCAAAUUAAAAGACAAUAUUCAACGAAAGAAGGUUUCAUUUUCUUGACACUUAACUAGAGAAAGGGGUGUUUGCAAAGACUAAUAGGGUUGACAGUGGCAGCUUCGAUUGAUUUCUUGUUUAAUUACUUGUGGAACUUCCAUAGCAGCAAAAACGUAUCGUAUAGUUAUGGGUGGUGCCAGGAAUUUUCCUUCGAGACAUGAUAGCGAUCAUGAGGAAGACUAUAUAACGCAAAAAAUUUAAAAGGUAUAUAUGCUGAAACUUUGAAUGUGGUGCCAGGAAUUUUCCACCAAGACAUGAUAGAGAUCAUGAGGGUGACUAUAUUACCCAGGAAAAUUAUAAGGUACGCUGAAACUUUGAAUGUUCUAUAGGCUUGAAUAGUUGUUAUUUCAAAAUUUAAGGAACAAGGCAUGAACGACCUGCUAGAGCACCCGUGACUCAACACUUCCUUAUUAUAGUCUAUCUAUAUAUCCUUAUAGUCUGCAAUUGAAGAUGGACGAGACGUCUUCCAUGAGUUACAAUAAGAAAACACUUACAAAAAUAUUGAGAUUCCUAUUGAAGAUGGACGAGACGUCUUUUUCGUUGCUCUCGCACAGAUAUGUCAGACUGACCCUGUGACUCGAAAUCCUAACUCUUGCCACUCCUCUAUGACUUGGUUGAGUUGAGUUUCACUGGGAGCAUAGGUGUGCACUGAGCCACCCAAACUGGCCAACUCCUUCACUAUAGCAUGCCUACAUAAAAAAAACAAAUUGAUAUCAAGAAGGAUCACAGAAUGCAGAACUACCUACAUAUUCGAGCUCCAUCAAGCUCACUUAAUGAGCAUUCACCACUUUGCCUUUAUAAACCACCUGGGGGCUUGACCUCAAUCGAGCUAAGCCUUAUUUCAUCCAACCUCAUUCGAGCUCAAUAGAUUUCACUCCUACUUAAUGCAAGCAUAUUCACCUAAAUCUACUUGAAACGAGGUGAACCUAUUUUCAUCCGAGCUCACUCGAGCUGCAACGUAUUUUACUCGAGUUCACGAACCUUAACUUAACCGACCUCUCCUGAGCUCGGUUAUUACACUUGAUACUAUAUCACAUUUACUUUGUAACGUUCAACUCAUUAAUAAUCAGACCGUUACCACAUUUAUUAUAUACUAGUCGUUGUCCCAAAUCUCCUAUAUAAACGAACUACGUAGGCUUGAUUUUGGGACUUGCUCAUUUUCAUAUACGUAGGCAACUAUCACUUGUGAUAGCUCAACCACUUCUUCUCCACAAAUCCUUUCUUCUCCAAUUACUUCCCGACCACAUUUAGCUUGACUACAAUUACGCUGUUAAUGAAACUAUGUAAAUAUACGCACUUCGCGCAUAUAUGAUAUAUAUAUAUAUAUAUAUAUAUAUACUAGUUGUACCCGUUGCUUCGCAACGCUAGUUUCAACAUUUUGUCUAUCAUUUGUUUUAAAUUUUGUAAUUCUUUUGUACAUAAUUUCGUUGCUUCGCAACGCUAGUUUCAACAUUUUGUCUAUCAUUUGUUUUAAAAUUUUGUAAUUCUUUUGUACAUAAUUUAUUAAUUGUGAACAAGUUCAGUUACUUACUUAUCACCAUUCGAUUUUAAAUGAUUAGAUAAGUGGCGUAUUGACUAUAUUCAACAUAUUAAAUGAAUAAUACAGUAUCAUAAGAUCAGUUGGUAAACUAUUUGUAGAGUACAAAAAGCAACGAGAGUUUGCAACAGUUGAGCAAAAUGCAAUAAUAGUGUGUUAAAUUUGUAAAUUUUGGUUUAAUUUUUGAAAACUUUGAAUAACAUUGAUCUAUCGACUUAAGUUAACCUCCAUAAUCGGGGGAUGUUAUUGUAGUUCUGCCACCGUACAUCCAAACCAAGUUGUAGAUGGCAUUAUGAUGAAAGGCAUGUUGCUAGCUAGGGUGGCAGAUUAUAUAAUCAAUUGAAAUAUGGUUAAAAUAUAAGCUACCACCUUAGCUAAUCUGUGUUGUGCUAGUUCCACGAAUAAGGUGGUAGAUUAUAUUUAAAAUAAUCUAGCAACAACAAUAGGAAUAGAUACAUGAACCAGAAAAGCAAAGAACCAGUUAUCCCCUUAAGCCAGUGAUCACCUCCACCAAAUGAAGGAACAUCUCCUGAUACCUAUGAUUUCUCCUACCUUCCCAAACUCCUAACCAAUACCAUAUGGUUCCCUUAAUCUGGUUGCAGGUUUGAUUGAUAGUCUGAGUCUCUUGACAAAAGAUUCUGCAAUUCCCCUUUUUCCAAAAGGAUCCAGAUUGUGGCAUAUGGAAGGAGGUCCCAUACCUUCUAUCCAAACAGUGUAGAUGGUCCUGGUGGCCAAGUUAUGAGCCACUCCUCCAAAUUUUCAACUGUGAAAAGAUCAAAAUAAACAUCUCUUUGGCUGGAGGACAACGUCCUAGAUUUCUAAUGAUCGUGAACAAUGGCAAAUUGACUAUAUAUUCAACACAUUAAAUGAAUAAUAUUGCAUGUCCAGGUUAUAGACUACAUCUGUGCUGUGGAACAGCUAGGAGAGUUUAUAACAGUUUUGAGUAAAAUGCAUUGAUAAUAUUGUUUUAGAUUUGUAAAUCUUGUAUAACUUUGAUCUACAAACUUAAAUUAACCUUGGUUCUUUUCAUAGACAGGUGUAAUAUUAACUGUAUUAUAAACACCAAGUGAAUGAACUUUUUUGGUAAAAGCUUGGCAUUAGGAAAAAAAACUCUCCUCCUAAGUUAUUAAAAGAGAUACGAGAAGUAUUAAGUCUGAACAAUAAAAUUUAAAGUCUGAACAUCAAAUAACAAUCUCUGUUGUAAACAAAACAAUAUCCACAAUAUUUAUAUACAAUAUCCACAGUAUUUGCCAGAAACUUUUCAUUUAUUUCUUCUUCAUUCCCUUGUUUGAGACAUAAUGACUUACCGCGCGCACACACACAAAACAACUAAACUUUAACAGUACACGCUUAUACAUGUCCUAGAAGUUUACCGACGGACCACAUAUGUAAAUGUUGUAGGAUACUUUGCACUUCAGGAGGACAAACUGUUCAACAAAAUUAUCCAAAUACUCAUCUUUAAAGAUGAAGUGCAAUUCUGCAGCAACUUCCUCGGUGUGAAGAGCUGCUCAAUCCCAACUUCUACAGCAACUACUUCCAACUNNNNNNNNNNNNNNNNNNNNNNNNNNNNNNNNNNNNNNNNNNNNNNNNNNNNNNNNNNNNNNNNNNNNNNNNNNNNNNNNNNNNNNNNNNNNNNNNNNNNUGAGGUGCUGAAUCCCAUCUUUUACAGGCAUUACGCAUAAUUUGCAGACAAGAUAGUGAUCUUGUCCUCCAUAUGUUGGUCAUUGGAUUUUGUAUACUCUUGAGUAAUGAAUUCUUUCUCUUAUUUGUAAUAUUUUCAGGGAGGUUUAUCGGAUCAAUGCAGUCAAUAAGCUGAAUCACACGUGCUUAUAUGAUGGUCAGUUGAAUGCUAUGUUGGUUCAAUACAAAGUCAACACAGAGGAGGAACUGGGGAUUGCAAUGGCACCUUCAAACCAAAGCUAUACCAUAUAAAAUAUAAAACCCAAGAAACUGAAAUUAAAUGUAAUGGGACAAACUAUGUCUACAGAGAAAAUACGCUUAGUUUGGUUGAUUAGUAGAGUAAGAUUUUGAUGGUCUUUUUUAUUCAAAGCAUAAAACUAAUCAUACAUAAAAAGUCUACGCUACGCAUGCAUGGGUGUGAAAUUUGUAUAAAUGAAAAUUACCUAAGAAGCAGCGGUGGUACAGGAAGAGAGAAAUGGAGACUGAGAUUGAUAAUGGGGAGCGUAGAUAUCGUCUUUCAUUCUUCUCCUGUCAUAAAUCAGUGAAUAGACAGAAUUUUUUACUGUAUUCCUGAUAAUUGAAAUUCUGAAGUUGUUUUGCAAACAUUUAGAAAUAUGAAGUGCAAUAAAAAAGAAUCAUAAUUUAUAAAACUGAUCAAGUGGGAAUGCGUUUGCAAUGUCAAGUGUGCGUGAAUUAUAAGAACCACAUCAUAAUUUGCGAAUAUUAAAAAUAAUGUCAGAUUCUCUACUACUGAGAACAAAAUAUGGGUCGUACCUAUUACCUAAUACCCAAAUAUUGUUUGCUGGCAAUGAAAAAAAAAGUAAGAGAAAUAUAUCUAUUGUGAAGAUUAGGAAUUCACAUUGUCAGAAUAAUAUGAUAUUGUAGGAAUGUACUUGAUAAAAAGCAAUAAAGGGAAAUAAAUUAUAACCAAUUUUACCCAGGUUCCCCAAAGGACAUCUAUCAAUAAAGGGAAAUAAGUUUUACCCCGUUCUACCCAGGUUCCCCAAAGAUGGACAUCUAUCAUGUAUGUUUCCAAUAUUGCCGUACAAAUUUUUGAGCAGAAGAUUAGUUUCAAAAAGCUAUUUGUAAAUGAUCUAUGCGGGAACCUUCCUCUUUGGAAAUCUUACACAACGAAAAUCCUAUCCAUCGAUUGGGGGACUUGCACCGUUAGAAGAAAUAUAUGGAGGUGUGGGCUUUUGCAUGAGCACAUUACAGCUCUCCUUCGAAUCUUUUCAAAUAAGCUAUUCACAAUAAGCAUUGUUGUUUGGUUGGAUACCUUAUUUGUUCCAGACAGUUAUUGCAUGAUGACUAAUUUUUCAGAGCUGCCUCCAGGGAAUGCCAACUUGACAGUAUCUUCGUUAUCUCGCAUAACACCACCAAACCCCUAACCUUUUGAGCCAACUGCACCAUCAUCAUUUGGUUUAAUGACCCCAAAAGUUGUCCCCUCCCAAGAGGAUCAAUUGAUCACUUGUAGAAUCCUAGUUGUCCGGAAAUUUGGCAGGAACGCAACUCAUGCAUCCCACUCCUGUCAGCCAGUUGUUGUGCCUUCAUCCUCUUGUUGUUGUUGUCCAUAGCCUGGAGUCCAAUAAUAUUAUAUAUAUAUAUAUAUAUAUAUACACACACACAACAGGGAUUAAUUUUAGUUCAAUAUGCAUGUGAGUUGUCUACGUUAAUAGGUUAUACACCUUAAAGUAUUUAACAAAUAAAUUUUCAGGCUACAUUCAUCUCCUAGGGCAGGAAGCACAUGUACCUGACUGCUUUUUGAAGAUGUCUGUAAGCCAAUGAGCUGGUUGUAUAUGAAUUCACCAUAUGAGACAAUGUAGUCCUUAGCAUGCAUCCCACCAACACGCUCUUAGUUCGACUCCUCGAAUGGGCUACCCCAGUGAGCAAUUCAUCAAGGCUUAUAUCAAGGUUUGUUCCAGAAGAUUUGAAAAACUUCUUGUUGACCUGAAAAAAAUGCAUUUUAAAGCAGUUCAUCAAAACCUUAAUAUAGAUCCUGAUUUAUGUAUGGAAGGGAAGUAAAUGCCUUACUAAAAUAUUGCACACAGAUACAGAUCACCAAUUUCAUACAACAUUGAUUCAAGCAAUAGGUGAACAUAAAGAAACAUGUCAUUCAAGCAUUUUAUUGACCAUAGAUACAAUCAUGGGCAUGCAUAUAAAGUUAGGUAUGUAAGUAAGAUCAAUUCUCUAUAAUCCACCAAGAAUAUUAAGAAGAAGAAAAAAAAAAACUUACCUGAGAUGUGGUAGGGAAUAGGUGGAGUCUUAAAUAAAAUGUUGAUUUUUUGGCUUAAAGUUUUAAGUCUCCCACUUCUGAUUCUUGACAUAAUUGCAGGUUGAAAACUGAAUGAUGAGUUGAUUGGACUGAAGUGUCUUACAGAGAAGCUUGCUAUUUAAAAUCUUGAAAUUGUGAAGAGUGGUACAGACAAACUUAAAGGAAAAAUUCAAACUUUAAAUAAUUGAAACUUGUCUAGAAUGAACAAGAAAUAGAAGGGGGCGGAGAAGAAACUCAUGUUGAUGUCCUAGAGACUCUGAAACCAAUUUAAUAUCUGAAAGGCUUGUCUAUAGAUGGCUAUAAGGCAACUGGUUUCCUGGAUGAUUUAUGACAGACGCACCACUGUUCACCAAUUUGCUGAAGGUCUCUUUUAUUAAAAUGGGUGGAAAAUGCGACCAUCUCUCUCUUUUUGGUGAUUUGGUGAACCUCAUUUGGUUUUACAAUGUAUUUCUUAUUAUGACUCUUACAAUACUAAUGCUUUGAUAAAGACUAAUUGCAGAGAUUAAGUUCUCAAAAACUAUUACAAAAUGUUGGGAAAAACAAUAUUGAGUUCUUAAAAUUAAAUAAGAUGAUAUUUAAUGCUCUAACGCUCACACCGGAUAUGAAUCAAACUGUGUCACAAUGUUUUUGGAAUAGAUUUAAAUUAAAUAAGUAAAACUUACAUUAGUUAAAUUACAAAAUUUAGCAUUGAUUGUGCUCGUUCCUUUUCUAUUUUUAUGCGUUGACCUAGUUUUGCCUUACUUAUCUCUUCAGUUCCAUUUGACAAAUUCGAUUCCAAUGACUUUGUUUGAGAAGUUGUAUCACUGCCAUAGAGGUAACAUUAUAAACAUCAAUAUUUUAUAUUAUAAAUAAUAAAAAUUAUUGUUCAUGUAAUUACAUAAAAUUAAAAAACUUACAUAGGUUCAAUUAUUGAAUUUAGCAUCGAUUGUGCUCAUUCUCUUUCCCUUCUUAAAUGUUGUCCUUGCUUUGCCUUACUUAUCUCUUCACUGUAGGUUGAAGAAGUUUUAACACUUUUGACAGGUAAUUCUUUCUUUGCCAUGACUGUGUUCCAGGUACUAAACAAAACAUAAUGAACAAUUAUUCACAAAUUACUAACAACAAUAUUAUGGUAGGUUUACUAUGCAAUUUUUCAUAUGAAGAUGGUACAUAAGCAAAAGUAAUGUCAAUGGAAAAAUUAUUGUGAUUUGAUAUUAAAAAAAAUUUGGUUAACUGGUCAUACUUCAAUCGCAUGCCCUGCUUGUGGACUAUUUACAAUUCAAGGUAGAGUGCAGUGACAGUUGCACUUCUUUUGUAACCAUGCCCUUUAACCUAAGGUCAAUAAUGCUCUACUUUCAUAUUUAAAGCACACAUUGAGCCUAUAGGAAAAAAAAAAUAAGGUGGCAGACCUGCCUGAACAUCGUGAUAUACACCUCUUGGAUCAAGUAUAGAGUAGAAAUGUGCAAGAAAAGAAUAAAAUAGAAUAGGCAAAGUAUCAUUAUAGAGAGAUUCACAAUGACAAUAAUAAUUGAGCUAACAAUACAUGGUAAUAGCAAGGAAAGAAGCUAGGUUGAAAUAUUCAAAUAAGUAUUCUUUGCUUAUUGGGUUUUUUUGUUUUUUUUUUAGUUUAAGCAGCAAGUACUGGUCCAGGGCAAUCUAUCUGCCGCUUUGAAUGUAAUAACAUCAUAAUUUUGAAAGUCUAGAGAGAGUUUAAAAUUUUAAUUUGAGGCUGAAAUAUAUAAGGCAGUGUAACCUAGAGUAAUCACAUAGGUGUAUUAUUCUUCAAUAGGGUUUUGAAUGAGUCUCAUUAAUAAAUACAUUCUGAUAAUCAGUCUCCAUAUUAUAAAUGGUGAUCUUAUGAGAAAUCACUUCAAAUAUGUGAAUAUGUGCAAUCAGUGAACAUGUAAUAGACAGAAAAGCAAUCAAUAUGUAAUAGCAAGUGGUGAUCUCAGGCAGUUCAUCAUAUUUUUCAGAUAUAUGGGCGACGCCAAGUUUUCUCUGAACUUGUAGUAACCUCUUAAGGUUUUCUCGAACAACGUAUUGGUGAGCUCUUAUAUAUUCUGACACCAUUAAUACAAUAUGACCAAGAGAUAUCUUCAAAUUUAGGUUUGAACAAAGAGCAUUCAAAUAAAGGAUUCGAUUAACUAAAUAGGUGCAGACCUUAAUCAGCAAGUUUGUUACUAUAAAUGGCGCAUGUACUCCAUUCUUUGGGUGCGGGGUCCAAAAUGCCUGCAACAGCAAAACCAUAAUCUUAAUCCGAAUGUAGUUAGGCAUAAGCCUAAAAAUAUAGUAGUCAUUAAGUAACAUCGAUUGUAAAAAAAGGUCUCAAAAAAUUAAAAAUGUCUGUGAAAUCCCAAUUCGUGAACACACACAAUUUACACAUAUUUCUGUAAAAAUCAAAUUUUGCAUAUCUAGGUUUUAAUUACUUUAUGCGAGUUAGUCAGUUCAAAACCCAAGCAAUGGAGAUGGUGUUUUAUCAAUACAUCAAAUAUAACUGAACUAACAACAUGGAUUUCUCCAUACCAUGAAACCAUCUUUAUCAGUUCGAUUAUCUCUAAUUUCAAAGGAAUGACAACAGGGAUAUAUACAUAUCUGCUAUAUUGAGGAAAGUGAGAUGUUGUGCUACUAAAAAGAAUCAUCAUUUUACAGUUAAGCUACCCAUUCAAAACAUAUGCUACAUAUUGGUGAGGAAAAAAAAAGUGUCAUUGUCAUUCUUUUAAUACAAAUGCGACAAAACUGAAUGUUACUAUAGUACUACCAAAAACACCGAGUUACUGAAAUUUCAAAAUACCAAAGUUUACUUGGUAAUGAUGUUAGUAAUACGUUUUGUACUGUAGUGAAAUAGUGCAAUAGAAAUUAAUUAUAUUAACCUUCAUCUAACACAAUUUAGAGGGGUUUAAAAGGUUUAAGAGGCUAGCUGAAGCUUACUAUAAACAAUAAAAUGUUGUUAAUAAAGAGGCUGAGUGUUGGACUGCUGGCUCGAAUGGACAACGUUUGGAGUUGUACUUAUGUCCAAAAGUCCAGCCGGCCAUGCCCCUGGUUGGUGCACCAAAAGUACCAGAGUCUGAAUCUUACUUAGAGUGGGAAUAGAAGGGUGUAUUGAGAAAGAUCAGAGAUUAGUUAUGUUUGGUUGAGAUUCACUCCAAUUUAAAGGUGGCAGUCCCCUACAACAAUUGAUGGCCUUGCUAACCUUUGUGUUAAUAUAUGGUUUUAAAGUACAGGUCUUCCUAUUUUAUGGUGCAUGUUAUUUCAAUAGAUAAAGGUGGAAAAGUUUAAAAUAGAAAGGAUACGUGAAAAUAGGCGACGUCAGCCAAUACUUUCUCUUCCAUUUAUGAAAUUAUUUUGCAAAAAAAAAAAAAAAAAAAGACUGAUUUAUUAAUCACUCUAUGACAGUUUGUAUUCCUUAUGUUGACAAUACUAUUAAUCACAGUAUGACUAAAAUGACCAAAACAGUCGCUAAAACACACACACAUGGUCAUGCCCUUCUGAUAAUGCAUUGUAGAACCCUAAACCCUAAACAAAAAUAUUAAAAAAGCAGAUAUUUGCAGAGAAGAUGAGAAUUUGCUGAAAGGCAAAAUCAUUAUAAAUCAAAUUGUUAUUCUCAUAAAAUCAGAUUCAUAAUAAAUCAAAUCAAAUCCAUAUCAUAAUAAAAUGACUAAAAUUGAUAACAAUUCAGGAAAAAAACCUUUUGAGUGACUAAAUUUGACAUACCUUUUGAACGAUUAUGAGAGAAAGAGGCGAUAUUGAGAGAGACAAGGAAUCUGUGAUCAAUAACAACACACUAAUUAAAUCAAAUUGAACAAACAAUAACAAAAAAAGAGUCUUACAGAGAUUAAUUGAAUGUUGAUUUUAAUUUUUUCUAUGCCGAGAGAGAGAGAGAGAGAGAGAGAGAGAGAGAGAGAAAGGAGAGAAUUAAACCCUAAUAAGCCAUUUUGCAUUUAGUCAGCGGAAUCAUUUAGCCAGAAAGAAAAAUGAACUAAAGAUAUGUAAAGGGGGAUGUUGAGACAGAGUUGAAGAUAAGGACCGAGACCAGAAAACCAACUAAAGUCUAGAACAUAAGCUAAAGUUUAUUACUUCGAUCUCUAUGAUUAACGUGAACAAACAAAAAGCACAUAGCUUUUGAGGGAGAGCAAUGAUAAUGAUGAAAUAUCCUGUUAAGAGCAAAGAGAGAGAGAGCAGAGCAGAGAGAGAGAGAGAGAAGAAGAAGAAGAAAUUGAUGAAUUUGAACAAACAAACACUGAAAUAUUAAACAAAAGAUCAACUUUCUGUCCAAUCUAAUUACCAGAAACCAUAUGUGGCUAAUAGAAACAGAAAAUUUGAAAGCUUAACCUUAUCAAAAAUCAAAAAUUAAAAUUUCAAAACUAAACACCAUGAUCUAGUAUUGAGUGAUGUAAACUGACCUGUUGAAGCCGAAGCGCAAUAGAUCGCAACAGAUAGUGGAGAAUAUUAAUGCAAACUGACCUGUAGAAGCAACAACAAUACAUAGUUAAAAUUAACUUAGGGCGAGUAUUAUAACAUAGGUUAGGAUCCCUAAUAAGCCUCUCUUUGACAUAAUGACAUGCCUUUCACAAGCAAAGAUCUGAAUUCUCAUCUAUUUGACCAGCAAAGUAAUAGGAAGAAAAUCUAGACUACAAAUACUACAGACUUAUGUGCUAUCCGCUAUCUCUGAAAAACCGAUACUCAAAAUUGGUGGCACCCCAAUAUCAAAAAAGCCAAAUGGCAUUCCUACAAGCUCGUUUCGGAUAUGGCAAAUGACACACCUAUAUAUCACUUUUUAGAUUGCAUGCUAAUAACUGAAGAAAAUGAAAUAAUAUUCAGUUGCAAAAUACUUGCCAAACCACUAUCUUUGUUUUAUAAGGUGUCCAUAUCAUAUCCAGUAUAGGUGCUUCAUUGGGGGGAUUGAAAUGAAGAACAUUCUAUUGAAAAAUGCCAUAUCUUAAAGAUAAUAAAAUGAUAUCUAGAGUUUUCUAGAGUAAAAGAUCCAUUUCAGGUGAUAGAAUCAAGCGAAGAGGAUAACACAAAAAUUGGAUAAGAUUGUACUAAUACGUGAUUGAGAAUAUUUGGUAUUUUAUAUGGGAUGAUAUGUAGAUACAAGUGACUUCAGCAGAUCUGAUAAUUAACACAGCAAAUGGCAUUAUUCAAUCCAAGGUUAUUGUCACAUGUUUCUACAUGAUUUCUAAUCAGAAUAAUAGUAGGGUAUAUGCAUCAGCAAGUGGCUUUAACUAUAUAUAUGAAGUUUACUUGGGGAUUAAAAUUUUCUCUCUCAGUGUAACUGUGUAAGCUUCCCAAUUUUCUAAUCAUUUUUAAAACAUGGAUAACCACCUAUAAAUUGAACUAAGGACAAGAACCUACAGGAUAACUAAUAUGAAAGAGACCAAAAUGACCAGCACAUACAAUGCAUUCAAGCACAUGGACACAACCCAGGCAAUAUGUUAGGUAGGAAAAACGGGAAUAGUAAAUAACUGAUAAUGAAACGGGAAAAGGCCCAUAUCACAGAAAAGUGAACCUGCACACCACCUGCACAGUGGAAAAUGGGCUGUAAGAUUUUUUAACGAAUGGGUUGAUUUUUCCCGUUUCUUCUGAACAGUAAUGUGAUAAGAAUAAAUAUAGAAAGAGAAAGGGCACAAACCAGACAAUGCUCAUCAAAUCAAUAGUGAUAUCCUCCUUCCUGCUGCUGUUGUGGGUCAUAGUACUCGCCACCAUAUUGUGCAAACUCAUUGUCAUUAUUAUUGUCCGUAGCAUGACUAUCUCUAUUAUCAGAUCCUGCUUGUUCACGUUCCCUGUUCCAUUGCUCAAUCUUUGCUCUCCUCUCAGCACUACCUUCCCUCUCAGGACUUCUGUUCCUCCGUCCACCAGGGCUAGUGCUUCGUCCCCUCCGACGCCUGGCGCGAUCAUCAUGGUAGUGGUGGUCUCUCUCAUCAUAUUUUCUGUCACGAAGGCUGCCAUGUGAUCGCUCCUCAUAGCUGUGAUGCCUGUAGGGGCUUCGGCUUCUACUUCGGCUGCGACUAUGUCGUCGACGGUAUCUUCCAAACAAAUGCCGCCUCAAAUCCCUGUUAAUGGAACAUAAACAAAUGCCUUAUUCACAGGCCAAGGGUAACAAGUGUCAUAAAACAUACGGGUGACCAACUUUUUUUACCUGCUAAUCAUUUUCAGAUGCAUAAAGUUGCAGUAGCCUCCACGAUUGCACGUAUUCUCCUCAUACUGCCUACAUGUUGCCUCGCGGAAAUCAGUGACAGGAGAGAAAUCAACAAUAAUUGGCCGUCCUGAAACAUAAGAAAGAGUUUGAAAUGAGGACCAAAAUAUAACUGAGACAAAGAUUAGCAGCUAGUAAUAGUAUUUUCUCAAUUAACAUCAAAACAAGGAUAGUAUGGCAGAAGCUAUUGUGAUAAUAGCUGCUAUAAAAAGAUUUCAAACUAUAACAAAUUAAUAAAUUGAUGGAGAUCAAAAGCUUCCUCUAAAAUAAAGUGUGCAGAUAAAUUGAAAUAAAUGAGGAAAAGACCAACCUGCAUAAAAUCUUCCAGUCAGGUUUCGAAGUGCAUUGCUGCAGGUUGUAGUACUUUCCCAACUGAAAUUACAUCCCAUUUAAAACCAAUUUGAUACAUCGGGGAAAUGUUCCAAAUCCUAUGAUAAAGACAGAUAAUCUAGGAACAGAACACUUCUAUACAUUAGUAUAUUACAAGUAAAUUAUUUUACAUGGCAUUGGAUAUGUGCGACAGGGGCGAGUGCGGGACAACAAUAUAUGCAUAACAAUAUAUGCAUUUGAUAGGUAAACAAAUAUCAAACAAUUACGAAAGGCAUUUGAUAGGUAAACAAAUAUCAAACAAUUAUGAAAGGGGCAUGAAUUACCAUGUGAUCAGCCAAGUUGUCGCAGAUGUUAAGACUUUCAAUCUCUCUCCAUAUUUGCUCAAUUCCUCAAACAAAUCUUCAUAGAAAUCCUGCAAUUUCAGGACAAUUAACAAACACCAUUCAAUUGAAAUACCAAAAUUUUCAAUUAGACAAUUAUAUAAGGUGAAGAAGAAGAAGAGAACAAACCUCAAAGUGUUCUUGAAUCUUACGUGGAUCCAUAGCAUGACCUUGAAGAUCCACUCCAGGAGUGAUCAUAUCAGGUCUUUGACACAUGUUAGACAAAAGAAGAGUUGGGCUAAUACUUGGCUUCGUGCUUCGUGUGAAGUCUAGAACAUCGAUCACCAUGUCUACAUGCUCCAAUUUUGAAGUAAAAAGGACAAUUCACUCUAUCUUUUUCUGUACCAAAGAUCGAAGCUAAAGUGUUCAGCCAUUGUUAUUAAAUCCAAAUCUCUCUCUCGAUCAAAUGUUUGUUAUUAAGAGGGUGUUUAAUUAGGGUUUAAUCUCUGUUGUCCAUCUAAAAUCAGACGGUCCAAAAUAUCUCCCAAAAUUGUCUUUUUUGUAGAUGUCUAAUCUCUGUCGUCCAUCUAAAAUCAGACGGUCCAAAAUAUCUCUCAAAAUUGUCUUUUAUAAACUGUCUCCCCAACUUAUGUACCCUUUGUGUCUUAUAACUUAGAUAUAUAUAUAUAUAUAUAUAUAUAUAUAAGAGAGAGAGAGAGAUUAUGCAUAGUAGAUACUCAGCCCACAAGCCAACCCACCCUCUCGAGUCCUUUUCUCUAUUUCUUAAAAUAAAUCUUAGGGGCCAAAAUUAGAUGGGCCUCCAUAUGAAUUAUAUGAAAUUUUACAUGGUGGGACACAGUAGGAAAGUUGAGAGUCAUAGGGGUUAUUUAUGGUUUUAGUGAAAUAAGUAGAAACAGGCUACAUAAGUACAGUAUUUGUAUAUAGUUAAUAGGACACGUGGCAAAAAUAAUGAAUUAAGUACGUACGGUGACGUUAUCCGACCUGCUCUUUUUUUCUUUUUUAUAGUAGUAGUUUAAAGGGUAAUUUCCCGAAUAAGUACAACAUUAUGCAGAUCCUUCCCAAAUAAGUAACAAGUAUAAAAACUUUCCCAAACAAGCACAAAGAUUCUCUUUAAAAAGUUUUUUUUGUUUUUUAGCUAAUUUUUCUUCCGAUAUUACCCUUAGUACUUAAAUAAUAGUUUUUGUUUUAUUUUUUUGUUUGAAUGACCGAUGUGACAUGUGAGAAAAAUAUUCUUCUUUAAAUAAGGACCAUUGGAUUUGUAUGAUGAACUGUGACCGUUGGAUCUAGAGUUUAGUUGGGCUAAUAUGUAAGAAAACCGAAAUUAUCUGCUAAUCUGCUAAUCAGAUACACGUGGCAGAAGUUUAACAGGUAACAAAGAGGCGGGCUUUUAGUUGGGGAAAAAUUAAAAUUAGGGAUUUCAAUUUCAAUUUCGGUUAGCAAACAGCUUCUCUCUCAUCUUCUUCUUCUUCCUCAACCGGCGCAACUGUUCCUCUCAUCUUCUUCUUCUUCCUCAACCGGCGCAACUGUUCCUCUCAUCUUCUUCUUCUUCUUCUCCAUUCUCAAAGUUCUAAUUUGAUAAAACAUGAAGGAAAUUAAAAAGCAGCAGCAGCAAACUAGAGAUGAUGAAAUCGAAAAAGGUAGGCGAUUUACUCUCACAGUUAGGUGUUCAACAACUAAAUUUUUUGAACACUUUCAACAUCCAAGUGAUAAAAUUCCACCGGAAGAGUUAGAAUCAUUUAGAAGUUCACCCUUCGGUCAAUUUCUCGAUUUCAAUUCCGAACAUUUUCACAUGAUAACAUCAGUUAUCACAGAAAUUGUGAGAUGUAGAGUAGGUAGGUUAAAGUAUGGUAUUGGAGGAAGAGUUGUCGAGUUCAAAAUGUCAGAUGUGGCCAUGAUCUUAGGCCCUUUAAAGUUUGGAAAUGUUCCAGUUGAUUUUCUGAUGAGGAAGCCGAAAGACUACACUACAUUCAGGAGCAAGUACUUCGGUACAAACCUUCACAUAAAGGAUGAGCAGAUUUCAAGUGCAAUUACUGAAGCAAGGAGAUUAAUUGCUAAGGGAGAAGCUGAUCCAAACGAUGUUCAUCGUUUGAACAGGUUGUAUUUUCUGUGCAUUUUUCUUCUUGCCGAGUCAUCAAAAAAUUUGAGUGUAAAGUACAUUGAUUUAGCCGAAGAUUUGAAUGCAUUUGAUAAUUUUCCAUGGGGUACUGUUGCUUUUCAAUUGCUUGAGACUUCUCUUGAAGAAAUUUAUCCCAAAGUCAUUGAGGAUAAUCCUAGUUAUUGCAUCAAUGGAUGUAUGUUAGCUUUUAUGAUUUGGGCAUACUUGCACUUCCCUGAUUUGGGUCCUAGGAGAGAUAGAAGUGCUGGAUUUCCAUGGAUGCUUGGAUGGUCUGAGUUGCUCAACAGGAACAAAACUAGGAAUAAAAUUUGUUUGAGGCUGUUUCCCAAGAAAGGUAAAUGUACUGUGGCAUAUCCAUUAGAUGUCACCCAGGAGGAAAGAGAUCUUGCUAAUCUACAACAGGUUGCAGAGGUAAAUCCCCUUGAAUUUUGUUUUUAUCUUCUACAAAACAAUGAAUCCCCUUUCUGUAUUAAGUUGAUCUGUUAUAUUGUACAAUCUAUUUUCUAGAAUGCAACUCUUAUCUGCUACAUUUUAUUUGAAGUUUGAAGCUCAAUACAAAGCAGAACAUGAAGAGUCUGCUUCCUCUAGGCCAUCUGUGCCUACCAUUCCGUCUUAUCACACAUCUUCAACAAGAAGUGGUGGAGGUUCAGAUUUGCUUUCAAUGGACAAGGAUUUUCUUGAGACAAUUCUGAGUGGAGUAGUGAAGGCAUGCAUGACUCAGAAGGUAUGUUGUUUGGUAAAACAUGAUUUUCCAUUUUAAUGUAUCUGCUAUAUGACUCUAUCGUAUCUGCUACUUUUGUGUUAUAUCUGUUACCUCUAUAAUGUUGUCUGCUACAAUGUUUUGUACUCAUUUCUGCAGAGUGGUCAGCAACUUGAUGAAAAACAAUUUGUGAGGGAUGCCUUAGGUCAGAUUGGAAAGGGGGCAUCCAAAUCUAGGGCAACAACAGAAAAGAAGUCAAGUACCUCAUCAAAGGCAACACCAAAAGCUAAACCUAAGACUAACUUGCCAGUUAAAACCAAGAAACCUGGUUCUCACAAACCUUCAAGUGACAGACCUUCACCUCAAAAACCUUCACCUCACAAGCCUUCUCCUAAGAAAAAGGCUGCAGCCAAGACACCCAUUGUUUCAACCCCAAAAGCUAGUGUAUCACCCAAACCAGUUGGGAGAGUGAAACUUCCACCUAAGAAGAAACCCCCUACGACCAAUCCCAACAGGGAUUCAAAAUCUAAGAGUGAUUCAACACAGCUUAAACAACAGAAGAAAAUUCCAAAGCCUGGAACAUCACCAACUUCAGUUAGAACUACCAGAAGGAAAGCCUUGGAGGAUAAUGUUACAACAGUUGGUAAAUAUGAGUUAAGAAGAAGGGAACCAACAGAACCAAAAGCUCCUGAAGUUAAGAAGAGGAAAAGAUCAGAUAAAGAAGAUAAGAAGGAAACCAAGAAGGUGAAAGUGGGGGAUAAAGUUGAAGAAGUUCAGAAGGGUAAAAGGGAGGGUAAGAAGGGAAAAAAGAUGGGAAAAAGUGGUGAUGAUGAAGUGAAGGAGGGUGGUGUUUAUGUGAGUGAAGAAAUGAUAGACAUGGAAUUAUUCAAGCCCCCUGAAGUCCUUCUACUUGGCUGGUAUGAGCAAGAAGAGCAAGAAGAUAAUGAUAAUGAUGGAGAUGGAACAAAGAAGGAAGAAAUGGACGUGAAACAAAGAAAGAGGAAGAAAACAGAAGUUGGAGUUCAGCCUUCAAGGCUACAACCUAAUAGGAAGGUUAAGCAUGAAGCAGAAGAACUGACAUGGAUGAGAGAUAUUAGAAGGAGAAAUGAGGCAAGGAAGAAAAGGGCACAUGAAGCAAGAAAAACACAAUCGGAUGAUGAUGAUGUCCCAAGCUCCAAGAAAGCAAGAAAAUUGAGUUUUUGGGAUGAUGAUGAUAGUAGUGAUCGUGAGAGUUUUGAAGUUGUGGUGAAAAAUUUGAAAGAAGGAGGUAAUCCUCUUGACACAGAGAUGUCAAAGUUGAAACAACUUUCUAUUCUUGCUUCAAUGAAGGUUGAUUCAUCAAACAUAGGUAGUUCAUCGGCUACAUCUGGUCAUCCAUCGGUUACAUAUGUUCAGCCAUCGGCUACAACAAGUCAACCAUCUUCUUCAGAUGCGCCUCCAUCGGCUACAACAACACCAACAGGAACACCACCAGCAUCUACAACCUCUACGACUGAAGACUCAAAGGAUGAGUCCACUGAUGAUGAUUAUGAACAAUCUACAGGGGGGGUUGAUCGAAAAACUGAUAUUGUGAUUGACAAGGAGAAAGUUCCAAUAGAUUAUAGACUUGAAACUCCAGAAAUUUCAGCUAGUCCCAACAAAGACAAAGCCUCCAUUCUUAAUCUUGGUGUCUGUUCAAAUGAUGAUGAUGUUAUCGAAAACUUCGAUCUUCAGUUGUUUAGGGAUAGAAAGAGGCAACAGGAUGCAGAAUACUUGGCCAAAAUGUCACCUGAGGAGGUUGAGAUUGGUCUUAGGUGUGAUGCAAAGAUUCAAGAUAUAAUGAGGGAACCAUUCUUCACUAGGCAUGUUGAGAAGUGGCAAGCAGAUCUUCUUCAUUAUUUCUGGGGAUUAGCUAAGGAACCUUCGAGGCUUAGGCAGUAUGUGAGGGUUUAUGGUUAUCUUCAAUCAUGCCCUGUGAGUGCUUUCAACACACUCUAUAAAGACAACUGGCUUGAUGAUGAGGUUAUUAAUGUUUAUUUGAGGUUGUUGGUUCGUCUUAUGAUUGGAAGGAGGCCACAAGAUUACAAGGAAGAAGAUCAAUAUGCUGUGGUUCCAAAUGUAUUUCUACAUGUAAGUAUAUUCUUGUCAAUAUUUAUUCUUCCAUGGUUAUGUUCUUGUAAUUCUAUUACAUGUAAGCAACUUCUUAUUAUUGCUUUCAUCUGUUUAGACCCAAAUCGCCUCUUAUAUGAAGCCUCAGUUUGAUGCUCUGAUGAAGGACAAAAGUUUUGCCAAAAUGAAGCCACAAGAGAGAAUAUUAUCUGGGAGAUUUAGGAUUCCAUCAAAUGUUACUUCUCUUGUUGAUCUGGGAGAUUUAGGAUUCCAUCAAAUGUUACUUCUCUUGUUGAUCCAUGGAUAGGCCUCCGCAAUCAAGUACACCCUGUGAAAGCUAAGGCACUUCUUGUUCCUUUACAGGUAUUUGUGUUCAGUUAUACCACCUUAUCUGCUACAUUAGCUACUUAUACCACUUUAUCUUCUACAUUGUGAUACACAAUCUGCUAGGUAUAUGUCUGUAUCGUUUAUAAUGUACAUUUCAUCUACCAUAUCUUAUAUAUCUAUUAUUAAAUGUAGGUGGAAAACAAUCAUUGGAUUCUGCUCUCAUUUAGUUUCAGUGAGAGUAUAGUUAGGAUCUAUGAUUCGUUGGGCUACAAAAGGGCAACUAAUGAACAGAGAAACAUGGAGAAGAUGUUGCCCUAUGCUAUUUAUGCUGCAGACCCAUCUCAGAUUCAACUUGAUUUGGAAAUGAAGUGGAAGCGUGAGUAUGUAUCCUGUGUUACACAACCAGACUUUUGUACUUGUGGGGCAUUCCUUCUUGCAUUCGUCGAAUGUGUCCUUCGAGGAAUACCACCGGAAUUUGAGGCAGAUCCUUUGCAGAUGCGCUACCGCAUUGCUAGAGACCUAAUUGAUUGUGGAGAGCUACCACCAAAGAGAAAGACCUGAUUGCACUUCUAUUAACAUGUUUUGUGAAGACUUGUAUAUUUCUUGAAAAGUAUUCUGAUUUUCUUGUAUUCUGAAACUUAUGAUCCUGUUAACUUAUAGUAUAUUCGAUUACCCUCUUCUUAACUCUGUUGAACAUGUUAGUACGGAUUCUGAGAUUUUACAUAGCAAAAGGUAGACUGAUCUUAGUAGCAGAUAAUACAGGGAGUCUAAACUGUGUACAUAGCAAAAGAUAGCAAAAGUCUAUACAUAGCCAAAUAUUCUUCCCCCUACUAUGCUGUUUGAUUGAGAGGAGAGAGUGGAGGUCCUUCUCCAAACUGCAUUGGAGUGAAAAGAUCAUAGUCAUCUAUGAAUUCAGUGCAAGUUUUUUUGUUGUGACCUCUCCGUUUACACCUUGAGCAUCUCCUACUCUGGACUGGGACACCUUCAGCUUUACCUCUCUUCCUGACCACUUUAGGUCGACCUGGCAUGCAAACUUUAAGUGGUGGCAAUAUUUUUCUUGUCGGUCGUGCAGUUGGCCAUGACUCCUUCCCAGGAGUGGGAAUCCAUUCUUCCUUGUACGUUUCCAUGUAUGUUUCUUUCAAGAAAAAAACAUCAACAAACUUGUAUGGAUCAUGGCCUACAUCCUUUAUGGCUGCCAUGGCAUGAGCACAUGGGAUCCCCAUAUGCUGAAACCAUUUGCAUGUACAUGUUCUCUUGUUAAGAUCGACUACACAUGACCUAACCAGCCCUGUAACCGUCCAAAUUCCUGCUGAAACUCUUUCGACUGUGCAUCUUCUUGCUGUGGAAGCAUUGUGAAUUAUUAGCUCUUGACACCAUGUUGUAACUGGUGAGUUGAACUUCAGGGAGUCAUUGUGGUAAUCGCGAUAAUGCCUAAUCACAUUGUCUCUUAUCAUUGACAAAACAGUAGUAACUGGCAUCAUUCUCUCCCCAACAAUCAUUUUGUUCCAGGACUCUACGUGAUUUGUGGAAACAAUUCCAUACCUGCAACACAUAAUCAAAUUAUACUGUAGGCGAUAUAUAACCACUUAUAGGCGAUAUAAAGGCAUAUGUAGAGAAUGGAAACAACACAAUAGCAGAUAUAUAGUUAUAUUGACUGACCUUGAUUUUUCUUGAAAAGCACUUGCCCAUUUUUCUACAGGACCAACAUCCAUAAGUUUUUCAUGCGCCUUGCUUGACAUACACCAGAUUCUAAGCAUCAUUCCCCAAAAUUCAUCUUGGUUGAGAGUUUUUGCACCUUCUUGGACCAAGAACUUGAUUUUCUUGUUACCAAACUUGCCACUCAAGUGAUAAGAACAGUACAUAUGGAUAGCCUUUGGCAAGAUUUUAGGGACACCCUGGAUGAUACCUUUGUGCCUAUCAGAUAACAAAAUAAACUCAUGAUCCUCUCCAACAACAUGGUCCCUUAACUUUGUGAAAAACCAGUCCCAACUUUCAUUUUUCUCUUUCAUAACAAUUGCGAAAGCGAUGGGGAAGAUAUGGUUGUUGCCAUCAACUGCAAUUGCUGUAAGAAUUGUGCCAGGGUAUCUUCCCUUAAGAAAAGUUCCAUCAACCAAGAUUAUGGGACGUAGAGUCUUCUUGUAAGCUCUAAUUGUAAUACCAUAUGUCCAAAAUAUGCAUUCAAAAUUACCCAAUGGAUUCGUAAGAAUGUCUGUUACUGCAUCUGGAUCCACCUUCUUCAGCUCAUUGCAGUAUGUUUCAAGCAUUUGGUAUGAGUGGCUGUAGCUUCCUCUUAUCUGUAUAUAAACAAACAGUUAAGCUCUUUGUAGACGAUAUAGUACAAACUAUAGACGAUUGUAAUGACUGCGUAACAGAUAGAUUCGUCUUUCUAAGGGAUAGAUUUAAUUUACCUUCCUCAUUGCCUUCUCUUUAGCUAACCAUGCAACUUUGUAAGAAAUUUUGACCAUGUAUUCUUCAUUGAUUGCACUCACCAAUUUUAGGGGUGGCAAGUCUGGGUUGUCUCUCAACUUUCUCAUACAAACUCUUGAAACCCAAUCACUGUUUGCUUGGCGGUUUUUACUUCCAACCCUAAAGUUACCGCACGAGUGGUCAUCUAUAAGUGUUUUUAUAAUCCAACUUCCAUCCAAACCAUUUGGGGUUGCAUACAGAUACCAUUUGCACCCACCAGCUGGACACCUAAAAAUCAUCCUCUUACUGUUUGUGUUUACACGUUUUAGAUCUUUUUCCAUUUUAAUUGCGUAUGUUUGGACAUCCCUUUCAAGCUCAUCACGAUUGUUGUAGAUUACUCCUCGUUUAGGUUGCACAUAGUCGUUGUGUGCAGGCUCUGUGUGAGGAGAACAACCUACAUUUGCCCUUUUAGUCGCAACAUAGGAGGAAAAAAUAUUGUUAAGUUCGCGUUUUACCUGAUCGAAAUCACGAUUUUCCUCAACCCUAGUAUUAUGUUGCAGUGGUACAUUGCUAGGAAAAGGCACAUUGUUCUGAGGAGGCACAUUAUUGGUUUGUGACGGCAUAUCGUGUUGUGAUGGCUGAUUGUUGUUCAUAUCGUCUAGAUGUUCAAAUCUAUCGGCUAUAUUGCACCUGACUCCCUCUUUUCUUUCAUUUACAUCGGCCACAUUGUCACCUUGCUGCGUGUCUGCGUUAUCACCAACAUUUGGGCUGCCUUCUUCGGAGAUUGGUCUAGAAGGACCAAACAUUGGUUGACUAUCAUCCCACAUUUGAUCCUCGAGCUCAUCUUCAGUAUUCCAAGAUGCAGGUGAGUCGAAAACUUCUGGAUCUGUAUCCCAAUGGUAUUCCUCACACUUAGGAGAUUCAGAGUCCUCCUCACUAUCAUCAUCUAUUAAUGUCGGUUGUGUCUUCUGUGCAGAUUGAAGAACAGCAUCAACUUCUUGUAAUGAAAGUGAAUCCCAAAAACCAUCAUCUUUUUGCAUGGCAGAAAGAAUUCCAGCUGCAUCCAUGAUACCUUUGUUUUUUACGGAUAGGGGUGUACAAGUAGUUUCUGAUAAUGGAUUGGUAGCAGAUGUGGGAGUAUGUUGGAUUGGAGGUUUAGGAAUAUAGACACCACUAGGUGGAGGGGUUUCUAAAACUACAGGGUCAUUUCUAUGCCCCAUUCCCUUGACUAUCAUAUCAGCACUUGGAUCUUGAGUAGGAGUCUCCAACCUAUAUUCAUCUGGAACAUUAAGAGGUUUGGUGGGUGUAUGAUAAGUAGAGUAAUCGGGUUUACUUUUUGAAGCCUUCUUUUGUAACUGCAUUGGUGGUGUCUCCCUCCCUUCACUCAAAGGUGUAUAAGAAGGAAUAGCUUCCGGAAAAAGCUUUCUUUUCCCUUUGCUUUUGGGAGCCUCAUUUUGUAACACAAAUGGUAUCUCCUUCUCUUCACUCCUUGCUAUUUCAGGCACAAUCUUCAGUAUAGGUGGUUUUCUAUGAUCAACAAUCCAAACAGAUAUGCACAUUGCAGCUGAAUUGUAUAUGGAAGCUAACAUUGCCUUAUAAUGAUCUUCACAUUCAAGUUUGGAUACCCUGAGGUUGACUACUGCUCGAAGUGACCAUGUUCCUUUUGGAGGAUUGCAUAAGGAAGAUACCUUCUUGAGGAAGUCUGUAUAGAUCGUCUGAAUAUCAACAAUCCUUAUUCUUGACUCUCCAUCCACAUAUCCAACCUCUUCCCCCUCAGCUGUGACCUCCAACAGACCACCAAAUCGAUAAAUUACAUUGAAAGUAUUCGCUGAAAGUAUCCACAUGUUAAUAAUGUUGAUUAGUAUCACAAUGUUAUAGUAGUUAUACAAAGUGUUUCAUGCAUUCUAAAAUGUAUCUGCUACAUUCUUCUAUCGUAUCGGCUACUGUCAAGAACUGUUGGUUUACAUAGCCAAUAUAUCGGCUACCUACAAACUAAAAUCUUAAAAUCUUUAAAAAUGAAAGUUUGCAUCUUUAAACCAAAUUGCAAGUUCAACAACAAGGUUUGCAUCUAUAACAAACAUAGAAAUCAAAUCAAUUCAACAGCAAAGUUUGCAUCUUGCAUCUUGGCCCGGCCAACUUUAAAAAUCAAUUAAAAUCUUUCAAAAUCAAAGCUUUCAUCUUCAAAUACAAAAUCAAACCUUUUCAAAUGAACAAAUACAAACUGACUUAAACAAUACCAAGGGUUACCAAACUGAAACCGGAAUUUAAUGCGAAUUUAAUUCGAAAACAGUAUGAAAUUGAAUAGCAAGCCAUCUUAAAUAUCAAUCAUUACAUUAAGGGUUUGGGUUUAAAUGCAUACCAGGUAUGGGUACUUCCUCGAGAACAUUAACUUUCUUCUUGGUUGUCUUUUGUUUCCCCAUUAAAGCAGUACCAAAGUGUCAAAAUGUUGGUGAUGGUACCACGGAAAAACCGAAAUUGUAACACAACAACCUAACAACUAAGUGAUAGAUUAAAACCUUGGAAUAGAAAAACUUGUUUAUAUAAUAGCAGACGAAGAACAACAGAAAAAUCAGUGAAGAAGAAGAAGAAGAAGAAGAAGAUGAAAAAGUUUGUUGGUGAUGGACGGUUGAGAUGAAAAACUUCGAUCUAACGGAUAGUGUUGGUUUGCAUGUCGGUAUCAAGUUUAAUGUUGAAGUACGUAGGAGAGAGAAUGAUGGUGAUGUUUAAAAGUUAAGUAAUGAAAAGAGAGAAUGUGUAAGAAGGGUAGAAAGGGAAACAAAAGAAUCUUUGUGCUUGUUUGGGAAAGUUUUUAUACUUGUUACUUAUUUGGGAAUGUUAUGCAUAAUGUUGUACUUAUUCGGGAAAUUACCCUAGUUUAAAUGUUGGGUGUAUUUGUUGGUUGAAGGAAGUUUUACUAUGUGCCAGCUGUGAUGUAUUUGUGCUUAAACAUGUAUACCUUUUAAUCAUUCAGGUUGUUUUGUAGAUAAAUUAACUAUUUUGGUCCUCUAACUUUGCCCAAAAUUUCAAUUGAGUUCCCAAAGUUUAAAUUGGUUAAUUUGGUCCCAACUAUUACUAAACAUUUAACAAUUCUUUUUUUAAUAAAAUGGGUUCUAUUUUUACACAGUUUGGGUUUGUGUUCUAUUUUUAAACAAUAUGAUGUUGCGCUUCUCACUCACGUGCUCUGCUGACCUAGCAAAAAAAAAAAUAUUAAAAUUUGAAUUUAACAGACCACGUGUGAUAGUAAACUACUACUAAACAACUUUGUUAAAUGCUUGCUAACGAUGAGACCAUUUUGCAAACGUUUUGAAAGAUUUGGGACCAAAUUGAACGGUUUAAACUUUGAGGACUCAACUGAAAAUUUGAGCAAAGUUAGGGGACCAAAAUAGCUAAUUCAUCUUAUUUUGUAAGUGUAUAGUGUAUACCCUCUUGUUUGGAUUCUUGUUUGGAUCCAACAUUUUUGUAAGUAUUUUCUGUAUAAGAUACAAACAAGAGUGUAUAUAUAUAUAUAUAUAUAUGUAAAAAUUAACAUACAAAAAUAUUGAGUGUAUUAACCUAUUUCUAGAUUAAUGCAUCAACAGGGUCAGGUCGUUAUGGAGACUUGACCAAAUGGGGAUAUUUGAGAUUGGGGUGGCUGCACCUCGUUGAGAUCGAGAUUGCCUACGUACUCUAGCUCGGGGGAAUUGAACUUAGAGAUCAAGCCAUCGUAGUUCUGUUUAUAUAGAAGAUGGAAGGGCGUGGAUCGUGGAUCUUGCAGAUUCUCCGCCAUCAUAAUGAUGAUUAAAUGUGUAACGCGCGAGGAUCAUCCCUGUGAAUUAAUUAUGUAACUGAUGAGAAUAUUCUGUGCAUUGAAUAGGAGCACGUGUGAAUAGCAGGUCGCUGGUCGUUGUGUAGUCUAGUCGCUUUAGUCGAGCUGCGAGUGGGUAGAGAUCGUGGCGACCUGACGGAUGGAUGACUGUGCCACGUGGCUGCUUUUGAUUGGUCGGAGUAUGUAGUACCCCUACAUUGAGGUAUACAUGUAUACCCUCUUGUUUGGAUCUGGGUUGGAAAUCUAAACAUGUAUGCCCUUUUAACCAUUCAGGUUCAACCAGUAUCUUAAUUUGUAAUUGUUCAUACAUUUAAGAUUGCAUGACAGUACGAGCUCCAGUCGACACCAACUUUAGGUAUGUAGGGGUCUGCCAAACCCCACUUUUUUUGUGGGAUCUGUUCAACUUAAUAUUUUUUCAAAAAGAUUGGUUUUGCUAUUCAGAAAUGACUUGCAGCAUUUGUCCUCCACUUUUGUAUAAUUUUUUGAGCUUAACGAUAAAGUGAAAUAUUUUAUAAUUAAAAAAAAAGUGGAUUAUAAGCAAAAGCCAAAAAUUCAACAAAAGAAGGUUUCAUUUUCUUCACACUUACCUAGAGAAAGGGAUGUUUGCAAAGACUAAUAGGGAUGACAGUGGCAGCUUCGAUUGAUUUCUUGCUUUAGUUACUUGUGGCACUUCCACAGCAACAAAAGUCAAAAAACUUAUGGGUGGUGCCAAGAAUUUUCCUUCCAGACAUAUAGAGAUCAUGAGGAAGACUAUAAUAUAUUACCCACUCUCAAUUAAAAGGUAUGCUGAAACUUUGAAUGCAGUCUGCAGACUCUGAAGACUUUUUCUGUUUCACUGUUAUCAGUGAAAAUUCUUUGUUUUGACUUUUUAGGCCAGGCUUGUGGAUAAAUCAGACAUUGUUUAACUAUCAAGCUCAUCAAAUUAUCGCACGAAAAUUUAAAUCAGUUUUUGUAGCAUAAUACACAUUGGAAUAUAAUAUUACCCUCUUCUAUCGUUAUACUAUACGGUGGCUUUCUUUCCAGGGUUCAUUCAUCUGAUAUUAGGUCUCUUGCUCAUUCUCUAGGUAAUGUCAUCUGUCAGUUCACCCUAGUUUUAUAUCUUGCUUUACUCAAUGGACGUACGCGCAUUAGAUUUCAAACUCAUCUGUUUUCAAUUGCUUGCAGUAGGGAGUGUGUACUAGGAGUCUAGGACAGCAUCCAAGUACUGACAAGCAUGAACUACAAGAGUCAUUGCAUAAAUAAUAAAUGUCCAGAUAAAGAAAUCGACAAGUGAUAUUCAAAUUAAAUUAUAUAUGUAGCUUAGGUUCCUGCGUUCUGCAUGGAACAUUUGACAGAUUGUUGAAGCUUCCUGGUACUCACUAGGUGUUAUGAACAUAGUAACAAAGCUUGUACUGGCCUGUAUCGUCAUGGCAACCACUACAGGGUGUGAGGGCAAAGGCAUAAAUUUCGAGUUGACAAACAAGGCUCUAGCAUUUGAUCUUGGCUUUGAGAUCAACCAUCAAUGAAGAAUUCGCCUCAAACAUUUGAGUUCAUUUCUCAAGUAAUUAAAGAGCAACAAUAACAUGUAGCAAUGUUAUGGAACUUCUAGUUUUCAUAAUCUGAACUCUUAUUUUCAAUACAUAUUAUAUUAUUCAUCUAUAUAGACAUCUAAAGGGAAGUUUCCUCUGGAUAAAAUCCGUUGACAGUUAAUCCGCCAUCAACAGUAAAUACUUGGCCUGUAAUAUACGAAGCUGCAGGGAAGCAAAGAUAAGCAACCGUUGAUGAAACGUCACUAGGCUCUCCAAUUCUCUUCAAGGGUGUGCGGGAGAUGUAUUCCUUGACCAUUGCCUCUUGCUCAAGCGCCUACGGGAAAUGGAGAAAAGUAUAGUAAGAAACUAUAGCAAAAAAAUUUAAUUAUAAAGUGCAGAUCGAAUAUAUUGUUGGAGUUGGCAUGACUUCCAAUAUGUUCGGUAUGAAUCUCAUUAGUCAUUACCUCCUUAACCAGUGGAGUCCUGAUCAGCCCUGGAGCAAUAGCAUUGAUCCUAAUAUUAUCUUUUGCCCAUUCACAUGCCAAAGUCCUUGUUAAUUGAUUCAUUGCUCCUGAUACAUCCAAGACACAAUUAUUCCUAAAAAAACAUUCCUUUAUGAAGGUAUGGUAAAAGAAUCAUAGAUGACUGUUACAUAUAAACUAGAGAUUGAGUUUUCUGUUGUACGUUGUUAUUGUGGUAUGAAUAUUACCUUUACUUGCAGCAUAAAUUGUGCCUGCAAUGAAACCAGUUAAACCAGCAAUAGAAGAGAUGAAGACAAUGCUUCCAUUACCAGAGGCCUGCAAGAGUGGAUGUGCAAGUUGGCACAAAUGGUAACAUGAUUCGAAGUUUGUUGUCAUUAUGGAAGAAAAAUCAUUUGCUGUGUAUUCAGUGGUGGCCUUCACUACAUUUGUUCCUACAUUGCUUACCUAUAUCAUUCAAACAACAUUUCAUAAUAUAAACAUAAAGCUUAGCAGUUUAUGAAGAUGAAAAAAUAUGUGCUUUUACAAAUCUAGCUAUUUCUAGCUAGGUGACGCGUGUUGCAUAAAAAAAAAUGAAAUUAUGGUUGAGAAGAUUUUUCUUUUCUCCGAAAUUCCUACAAAUCAAAAUUUCUUUUCUAAAAUAAAGUAGGGAAAUUUUGAUCUAGUAGGUCUGUAACGGGAAUUACUACAAAAUAAGUAGUGAACAAACAAAACCUGACCAAGUCAUGGAUACCCUUUAAAGUUUAACCCCCAUGUCUGGCAACAAUAACUGUACGUGGUUUAUAUGAUAUCAUAUACUCAAAUAUAUAUGUAUGAAGCAAGCAGCAAAAACAGUCACUCACAAAGAUAGUGAGAUUCUUUUUGAAGAUAGAUGAAACAUCUUCCAUAAGUUUCUCUCGUUGUUGUCGAUCCGAUAUGUCACAGAUUGACCCAGUGACACUAAAUCCUGACUUUGUCCAGUCGUGCAAGACUUGGUUGAGUUCAGUUUCAUUGCGCGCACAUGUGUGAAUCGAAGCUCCUAAGCCUGCCAACUCUUCCACUAUGGCAUGCCUAAAAAACACCCAAAACUGAUCAAAAUAUAAGCAAAAAAAUAUAAGUGAUCAUGAGCUUAGAAAUUAUGAAAGAUAUAUAUACCCGAUUCCUUUAGUUCCACCAGUAACCAAAGCAGUCAUGCCUUGGAGCGACCAUCUUUUCACAGCAACUUUCUUCUCUUCCAUCAACUCUUGCUCUUGAUCUCUAGAAAAUAUCUCUCUCAAUUACUAUCAGAUUUUGCAAAGUCCUUCUUUAUAUAUGUAAAUGCUGACAAAUAUAUUAAUGAAUUUGUCCAACUUUUUCCUCAUCUACCAUCAGGCGGCUCAUCCUUUUAGCAAAUUAGGUAGGUGUCUAGGGCCUCCAUAGUAAACUAGAUUAUUAUAUUUCUCAAAGAUUUCUUACCAAAUCCAAAAUUUUUGUUUUCCGGGUUUUUUUAGCAGUGAAUGGGAUAUCAGGACUAGGUUUAAAAGUUUACAUAAAUUUAGGACGGCUGCCCGUGGUGUUAUAAACCCACGACGUGAUAUUAUCAUCUUUCCCCGUCAACAUAAAAAAUCUACAAUACUCUUGUCAUAUAUAGAAAGGAUUUGGUUGCCGACCUAUUAAGUAACUAGUAAAACCCGUGGCGCUGCCACGACUACCAUUAAUGAUUUGAAGACAGUAAUCUUCAAAACAUUAUUCUGUCACAUUCAAUUUUAGGAGUUAGAUUAGUAGUUUUAAUCUCUUAAAACAAAUAUUCAGUAGGUGUAACAUAUAUCAAUUUGCAUAGGUUAUACAGACGUAUCCUUCAGUCCAAGAGACAUAUAUCAACUUACAUAAGUUAUACGGGCUUAUUCAUACUACAGAACACAGACAAUUUAAACCUAAAAGACCAAAAAAAUUCGAGUGUGUGAGAUAGAAAUAAAAAUACUGAUAACUGGCAUGGAAGUACUGGUCUUUACAUAUUUUGUAAUAUUGUAUCCUCUUUGUAAUCAUUAAGAGAACUAAUCUAACAUGUACAUGACGUUAACACGCUGGUAGAGGAUUAAGAACCAAGAUUGAAAGGAUUGAAGGGAUGUUUUCAAGUGGGGUAAAUGUGGAGCAAAUGUACAUGACGCAAGGUACAACAUUGUUGUCCAAGUGAAGAGUACAGAGGCAGGUAUUACAACGAUCUGGACUCUGCCUCUCACCUUCUUGGUCAGACAGAUUUCCAAAAUUCAUUUUUUAUUGCUAAUCCUAAAUAAACCAAUUGACUUAUAAGCACCAAAGUUUUCUACAAUAUAAUGCUUCAUAUACACCAAAGCUUUUUAAAAACAUGCCAUAUCAUGCAUGGAUAAAAUUGCUGACCUAAAUUACAAAGUGUCAAUGGAUUGAUCUCUAUUAUUCUUAAAAAUAUAAUAAUUAAUCUAAUAAACUAUAUUUUUUAGAGUAAAUAUCUUUAUCAGCUCCAUGUAUCUAUUUUAAAUUUCUUGUAUAUCAUCUUCUUUUUCAUCAGGUCCAUUCGUCCAUAUAUGUAUCAUCUUCUUCUUCUGGUAGUAUAUCUUCUACUAUUGAUCUCAUUAUUUUCAUUAUUUUCUCAUGUCUGAUUAUUUCCAAAAAAACAUUUGGAUACAUAAUUUGUCCAUAAUAACUUGUAAGUAUGUCCUAAAGGUCAACUGCAUACCAUUAUGAUUUCAUUCAGGCACGAUAAUAUGUACUUAAUAUUUUAGAAAAUGUUAAAGUUUCGUUAAAAGAGAAUAUGGUGCAAAACCGACUUGUAUAAGGGCAUCCCUAAUGGACCACCAAACAUGGUAUCAAACUCAAAUUUGGAGAAAAACAAAAAAACUCAUCUCUAAUGGACCAUCAUAUUUGAGUUGGUAGUAAAGUUUCAUCAAAUUUUCACUAAAUUUGGUAAAAAUUUGGUGUUUUUAUCAAAUUUGAUACCACACUUGGGCGGGCAAGAGAGAACCGCUCAAGUUGAGUGGCUCCUGAACACCCACUUUGAGCGAUCCUUCAUUACCCGCUCAAGAGAAGUUGUCCGCCUAACCGAACAUCCACCCAUUAGUUAAGUUGAGCGGCACCCCAUUGCUCGCUUAACAUUUGGAUCGUUUUUGUAAGCGGGUUUCUCUAUGCCCGCCCCUGUGUAAAAGCAUAUAAAAAAAAUAUGGGCAACUCUCCUUUGUCCGCCCCAUAACAUGCAAGCGGAUGUUAAAGACCCACCUGAAAGAAGCGGUUCUCUGUUGCCCGCUCAAAUUUGAUAAACCAUUAGAGAGAACGAAUUUUAAUAGCAAAUAAAACACCAAAUGAGUAUCAAAUGUGCUUAGGUGAACCACCAAAACAAAAAAACCAUUAGAGAUGCCCUAAACGCCAAUUGUGGUGAUUGUUGAAAACCAGAAGGAAGGUUUGAUUCUAUUGCAUAACAUAUCCUGAUUAAACUACUAAGUUAAUAGCCCUUGUGUAUGAAAGGCAUAUUUUGGGGGGUGUUACAACUUAUAAUGUGUUUUUAAUAGUUGCACCACAUCUUGAGAUCGCAUGAUGGGUGGAUGGGGUUUAAUUACUUCUUUUUUCGGAUCCGUUGCUUCAAAGAUUUUUUUUUUUUUUUCUAGUGAAAAGAGUUUAGGAAAUUUAGUUUUAGAUCAGGGGUGGAGUUAAAAUGCAAUGUUUGAAAUUCUUCCAUAAAAGCCUUUGUUAUUUGGCAUAAGGUUGCAUGUAAACAACAUUGUAUGCAACAAUGGGCUAUACUGCAUCAUUACGCAUAAAGCCAACUGAAAAUCUCUACUACUUUAGAAAGACGCCCCCAAAAUAACGUGGUUUGCGAAGCCUGAUCUUAAUUAUAAACAGACUGUAUAAAAGCCCAUGCCUAUACACAAUAAUACCCAUAUACAUAGAUACUGAUAAUUCUGGUUUUAUCCUUACCUUAAAUAUAAACAGGCUAUAUAAAAACCCAGGCCCAUACCAAUAAUACCCCCACCUAUGCAACAUAGUAAUUAUCUAAGUUCUCAGAGAUAUAACUCCUGUUUAUACCUAAUCAAGUUUUACUUGAUCAUCAACUGCAUGAAAAUUUUCGAAUUAUAAAAAUUGAUUCCAGCUUAUCAUUUCUUCCUAGGCUGGUUUAGGGACAUAUAGAGAGUGGUAGGGACAUAUUGAGAUUGAUGUCUUAGAUUUUCUUCCCAAUGAUAAACAAAAUGCAUUUUAGUUGAUAGUAGGUUGAAUUCUUUAAUUUUUGAGGGUGAAUGAAGCUGGGCAAUCUGAUUAGCUUCUCUGGAAAGAGAAAGUCAUGUUGAAUGCCAAAUACGAUCCGAUUGAUCUAUUCGAUGAAGUCCAUAAACUGAAAUAAUAAAAAUUACAUCUCCAACUAUACAGAGCUCUCGCAGCCACUAUUCUACUUUACCUUUGAAAGGAUAUUUUUUGAUUUGUAACUACAAAUCUAAGAGUAUCUCUGUAUCUGCAAUUGUGGUAGGAAAAUUUCAGUCAAGAGACUUAGCUAUGAGAUAGAAACACAAUAAAAAUAAAAAUAUCAGCAACUUUCCAAUUCCCUUAUGGUAUGAUCUUAGCGUUACCAUUGUCCAUUAUAUUAUUGUUUCCGUAGUGAGAGAAUUGGGUUUUCUUUUUCUUUACUUUUUAUCUACAGAUAAUUCUGAUCAGUUUCAGGAAUUUAACCAACUAAAUCCCCAAAAGAAUAAAAGUUUGUAGAAUUUAGUUUCUAAUCAUACAGAACUGGCAACUUUUCUUUAACAUCAUUAGAAUUGACGCCAUAGCCAUAGAAUAGAGAAUUAAAACAUGGCCUUCAGAGAAACUUUAAAGUUAACUCAACAUAGUCCAAAAUUUAUCUGGCAAAUAAAAUUUGACUGCAUAAAAAACAUUGUUGCAUUAAUUGUGUACUAAAAUCCAAAUACUCUUAACACCAAAUUAGCUACCUCUAGAGAAUUGACCAUAGCAACAAAAUAAAGAAUUAAAAACAUGGCCUCUAGAGAAACUUUAAAGGUAACUCAACAUAGUCCAAGAUUUUACUUGUAAAUAAAACUUGACUGAAUAAAAAGCAUUGUUGCAGUAAUUGUGUACUAAAAUCAAAAUACCCUUUACACCAAAUUAGUUUUGAUGCUUGUAAACCCUGCCUUUGUAACCCUUUGUAGUCUCAAUCAUCCCGCAGUAUUUUUAAAUCUGUCAUAUACAACAUCACAAUCAAUAAUAAUAAGUAAUCAUUUAAGAAUGAUUUUUUCCACAAAUUCCAUAUAAAGUUGGUUGUUUUGUUUGUGAUAAAGUACAAUCUGUUGCAAGUUUGGGGAAAGUGUUCAAGUGUUCGCCAAUAGCAGAUAAAACUAACGUCGCUAAGUCCUAACACAGCUAGAGAGUCAUCAAAUUGAAUAAAUAGGAGAAUUUGAGUUCCUAACUCAAAUUAGAAAACUUACAUACAAAUAAUUAUGCACCUUUUCGUACCUCACAAUCUCACCUGAACCUAUCUCUACUCCCUUAACAAACUUGCAAAAAAUUUAUAAUUGAAACCCUUUUGCCAUACAAAAUUUUCAGAAAUGGUACACCCUUCUCUGAUAAACACAUAACUCUAACAAAAAAAAUGCAUAGUUCAUAUUUUGUAUUUAUGUUUGUCAUUGCUUUUAUUCAUCUUUGAGUUGGGUAGUAUAUAUAUAUAUAUAUAUAAAUUUGGCAAUUUAUGGCAUUACAUAAAGAUCAUUGACCUGCAUAGAUAGAAUGUUUAAUAAAAGUUUUGUUGUCUUUUAUGGAUUAACAAAAAUAUUAUUAAUCAGCAACAAACCAAAUACAAUCUUGAUCAACGUGUGCCAUCAGGUGAUAAAUAUCCAAAGCAAAAGAAAGAAAGUACCAACACUAAUUCUUCGAGCUCGAUAAAAUAGCCUUGUAUCUUCACUGUCAGACCCUAGAAAUUGUCACCUGCCACACUCCGACACCACAAUACCACUUUACACAUCAACAAAGUACCCCUAAACAAUAUCGUACAAUAAGCCAAUUGUAUAAUAAGAUGCUAGCAAUGAUAGAAUUGAGUAUCAUAAACAAAACUAAUAAAGCUAUAACAAAGUAUUUACGUAGUUUCAGGAGCCAUUAUAUUUGAUAUUGGAAAAAGAAAAUAGGUAAUACAACAACAGGGCUACAUUUGAUAUUGGAAAAAGAAAACAGGUAAUAACAACAGGUUUAGAUAUAGGUCCCUCUCUGCACAUACACCUUUACCUAUAUUUGUUCUAAGUUUUAUUUCAGUUCAUAUUUUUACCAAAAGAGGAUUGAAAUAAUAGGAUACAUUCUUCAAGGUGUAACUGUAAAUAUUGACUGACUUGUAGAAUGUCAUUUCCCUUUCUUCCUAUGGAAAAGAAAAGUUUAUAAAUUAAGAAGUAUUUCUGAUGUUAAAAUAUUGACCAUCUAUAUACUUUUGAAUUGCAUAAACUUUGAUUCGGUUUUCCAUCUAUGUUGUGACUUGGUUGAGAUUUUUUCCACUGAUCAGGCCUGAUCACCUAACAGGACAAAUAUGCAGAACAAACUGGUGUAACAGAUCUAUUGCUAGAAAUGCCUAUCAUACGUGGCUGAAGGUUUAAGUUGUUGAGAGUAUGUUCACUGGCUUUCUCAUGUGAGUUCUUUAUAUUAAUUAUUUCGAAGAGAUUUGUUCCAAAGAUACUCGUAGUUAACCAUCUUGUUCUAAAAUGUAUAUUGCACUAUUAGUGCAACAAAAAAAAAAAAAAAAAACAAUUCAAAGCGUAUACAUUUUCAAUUCUACUACUUCAAGAUCUAACUUGUUAUGUCAAGCUACAAAAAAUGCUAUCGUAUGGCAUAUGAAGCAUCUAGUAAGUUGCAUGACUGCAUGUCUUUUUGGUGGAACUAUGAUUGGGACUACAUUUAUCAGAAAGUUUCCAACCUGUUGUUGGGAUCUUAAGAUGCACAGAUUUGUCCAGUAUCUACUCCUAACAUGUGGUUACAUCCUAUGCUGUCAAAGGCGGAGCGGAGCGCCAGGCGCUGAGAUUUGUAUAGACCGCCUCCACCGCUCAGGCGGCGCUCCGGCCAGAAGUGACAGAUCAUAGAGUAACAGUAUAUUGUAUAUACUCUGAAUUUCUAAAAGAAUAAACAACCCAAUAAACGAAACAAACCAAAAAAAUAAAAAUAAAUUAGUAGAGAAGAAGAAGAAUAUGAUUUGAUAUGGAAUUAAAUUGAAUUUGAUAUGGAAUUCAUUAGAAUUGUAGAAGAUGAAGUGGAAUUAAAUUUGAUUUGAAUUGAAGAAGAUGAAGUGGAAUUACUGUGCGAAUGAGCAACAACAAAGAAGAAGAUUUGAAUGAGCAGCAGCAGAGAGAACCAGAAGCAAGUCAAGCAACAGAGAGACAAGUGAUUUUUUUUUUUUUUUUUUUUAUAUUUCUUAAUGAGCUUUUAGGGUUUGGGCCGCCUCUGACCGCGUUUGAAUGGGCCGCCUCUGACAGAGCGUUGGGCUGAGCGUCGCCCAGGCGGCCCAGAGCGUUUUAAGCGCUAUUUUAGCCUAGCAAAGCGUCCCCCUGAAAAACUAGCGCCUAGGCAGCGCCCCUGACAGCAUAGGUUACAUCACCCACCAAAAUUUUAAGCACAUUUGCUGAUCAAAAAGGUCCCAAUAUGUAUCUACUCUUAACAUGUUUUGCUAUAUCACCCAAAAAAAUACUGUGUUUCUUUAGAGAGCUUCACAAUAAACUAAUCUACUUUUACAUGCACGCAGGGCUUGUUUUAAUCUUUUAGAUUGACAUACCUGAGAUAUCCCAUUUUCAUUUCAAUGAAGGGAAGGUUUUAUUCCAAAGCAGACAUGGAAUUGAAGAAAUUUCAAGAUUUUUGAGUCUCGACAGCCGGAAAGUCUAAAUCAAUCAGCUUUUACCCUAUAGAAUUCAACAUCAAAUAAACCAAUAAAGCAGAUUAAUAUAAAUAAAAAAAAAAAACCUAUAAUCAAUUGAGAACUUCCAUUUCAACAUAAAUGGUUCAGCAUGACUGGACACUUUCGUAGCUUGGGUAAUGCAUAUCAAGUCUCAUUGAUUGGUUUCCCGAUUAUAUCUAAUAACUCCUAACAGAUCAAUGCUUCAUAUUAGCUACAUAAAAUCUCCCCCCUAAAAAUUUCAUGCGCCUAUGACCCUAAUGGCGGUAAUGCUCAAGCUUGUUGACCAGCUGAACUCUAUUAGAAUAUAGACAUAUAAUAUUGAUUACAUAGAUUUCAACAAAUACUUCAUAUUAAGAAAAACAUAAUACCAAGUCAUACUUGUUAAUGUUAGAUACUUUAUUUUUAAGAUACAAUAUGACCAACCUUAUUUUUCGGGAUAAAUAAAGGUAUACAAUGAUGGUUUCUAAAAGGUGUACAAUAAUAUUGUACAGAUGAACUGUCUGUUGCAUGCAUACUCUACUCAUACAACAUGAAAUUGGUGCUUGAUGGAUCUUUUAUCAACAUAUGAAACAAACCAAUAUGCUUAAGCAAGUUCCCAAUAACCAAACUAAAAUUAAGUUCAAAGAUUAGGAUUGAUAUGAUAUGGCUUUAAUAGGGGCACAUUCUCAAGGCAUCAGAUUGUAACUGAGAACCCCAAGCAAAAGUGCAGACUAACUUUUCACUACCAAUCUACAUAAAUGAAUUAAAGGUUAUAAUGUGAAUUGCUUAUCAUGGUUUGUAAACAAUCAAUGGAUUAAUAAAAAAAAACAAUGGAUGUGGUGGUAGCAAUCUGAUUCAUUAGACAUGCUCAAGAACUGAAGGCUUAACUGUAGUGGUAUCUUUCUAUAUAACUGUAGACAGUUCUUCUAUAACUAUACUAAAAAUGCAUAACUGUAAGAAUUAAUGAAGUUCAUCUAUAAAUAUACUAAAAAUGUUGUCUGACAGUUUGCAGUUCAUCUAUAACUAUACCAAAAAUUUCAACUCAGCCAUGCUUUAGUUUGCAGUUCAAACAAAAUGAUCUGAUAUUGCAAAAGAGAAUGCACAAAAGCUACCUUGGGAGUAUAUCACAACAUUGUAACCACUGAAUUCUUGAUACAUAUCUCCACCAACAUAACCUCUUACAUGUCCACGAAAACUAUGUCCUCCUCUAUCACUGGAGCCUCGGUCAUGGGUCACCAUCUCCAUUAUGGUCUUUUUCUGCAUUCUGCAUCCCUAGAAUGAAAGUAGCAUCCCUAGAGCGAAAACAUGAAAGAUAAGUUCUUCCAUACAAUAAGUUGAAGAAAGACACUAAGAAUCAAAGAGUCUGAACAAAAUAAUGAUAAUGAUGGUUAUGAUUACUAUCUACAGUGAACAUGCUUCCCACAUAUGCACCACAUUUCUCAACAAAUAAGCAUACAAUUCUUAAAACAUUUAAAUUUUUAACACACACACACAAAACUACUAACUUUCUCAAAUUACGAUAAUUCUAGAGCUAGGUUAGUCUUCUCAGAUCUCAAUUUAAAUCCAUCAUUUGCCAAAACCACAUGCAUGUAAUCCUUGGCACUAAUCGAAGGAAGACUGGAAAGUACUUGAGCUCAUAAUACUUAACUGAUAUACAAUACAUUGUAUAAGCAACUCACUUUAGACGAACUCGCAUUUGGUUACUUAUGUACAAUCCAUCAGUUCCAAGAUUGAUUAACUUUGAAGAGAAUUAAAACUAAACAUAAGAUAUAAUUCAAUAGGUUUAUAAGAUACUCGCAUUUGGUCAACUUUCAAUUACUACAAGAGAAAAAUCUAUUUUACCAACAUUUCGCUGUCAUACGUUGCUUGUAUCUCUCCUCAACUAAUACGCACUUCGGUCAUGUCCUACUUUUAUCUCUCGACAUAGAUAGUGGAUACAUUAUUUGUAAUAGCUUUUGUAGGAUUUACAAAGGUCUGUUAUAUUUAUUUAAAUUGAGAGGGUAUCUUACUGCCAAUCCUAUUCAAAAAAAUUUGUGCUUAUUCAGUCUCGACAUUGUUACAUGAGGUCAGCCUACGAAAAAUUUCCAAGAUUUGUUGUGAUCAUCUCCAUAUCAUGACUAACAACAGCUAAGAAAACCUAGGCAGUGUUUAACCAAGUCUCUUUGUACUUCUUCAGUUUUUGUGAAGAAAACUUAGAAAAAGCCUGAUGCAUUGUUACCUUGGGACAGGGUAUGAAAGUGUAAAUCAACAUUUGUGGACAGAGUAAGAUUUCAGAUUAAUUAAGGAUAGCUGAGCAACGCAACUAAAUUUGUGUGAGUGUAAAUCACACAUAAGGGGUAAGUCCUACUGAACAUCUACUAAUGGAGGAAUGCAAUGAAUAGAGAAGAUAAAUCCACACAGAGAGAAGCCAUGAAAAGCAAUAAGCAAAAUAGGCACAAAAAGUACUGACUUUCAAUAAAUGUUUUGCAAUAUAGUUUCAGUUUCUAAGUCUAUUUAGAAAACGACUUACAGAAUUAGUAGAAUAGAUGCUCUUAAGUUUGACCUCUUGCAGGCAAUGGUAUUUGCAAACAUGUAUUUGCUUGAUGAUAGGAAACUAUGUCCUCUUCCAUUAGGUCUACCUCUACAAUCGCAGCCUGGGCUGCCAUGUUCAUUGUAUUCCCCCUUUGAAUUGUUCAUCCCUGAUAUUCAAUUUGUGUAAGAUUGUUUGACAAAAUUGGGAAUAAUAAGAUAAUCAAUAUUAAAAAAGUUAGAGAAAAGCAAUAGAAAAGUAAAACUAUAUCCACGUAGAACCAAUAUAAUCAAUUAGUAUGUAAAAUUGAAUAAGGGGUAAUAAUAUCCACCUAGAACCAGUAUAAAAAAACAAUUGGAGAUUGAAAAACAAAGAUUUCAUAUCCACCUACAACCUCAACCCUAAAUUUCAAUUUGAGAUUGAAAAACCACAUUCAUAUAUGAAACAGUCGAGUCUACAUUAUCAAUAUGUCUACAAUAUUAAGUUCUUUAACUAUGUAGAACAAAUGAUAUACGGAGGAAGACCCCUUGCCGAUGUGCAAUUAGUAUUUGGCAAUGCAUGAAGGGAAAACAAACCACAUUUAUAUGAAGGUGCAUAUAACAAAAAUGAGUGAGAAUAUGGAAAGAAAAAAAAAGGUUAGAGAAUAAGUUGACCUGAAUGAGUGAGACGGAGAUAACUGUUUAUUUGUUUUGACAAUUGAAUGAAGAAUUUCUGCUGAGGGAAAAAGAAUUUGACUGGGGAAAAGCUUGGAUGGUAAUGAAUCGAUGAAUUCACAGAACAUUUCUAUGGAAUAGCAAGAUAAACACACAAUAUACUAAGUACAUUAAAUCAUUGUGCUGUAGGGAAGGGAUUCAAAACUAAGUAUUAAAUUUAAGGUCCAGUAGGUGACAAGGAUUCACAACUUUUAACCAUGGCAGAAAGAUGAUUAACGUGCAGUGAUGUAAAUUCAUAUUUUUUCUGUAAAAUUACAAUGGUCAAGUAGGCACGCUAUAGACUUAAAUAUUGAAGCCAUUUAUGUUAUUCAUCUCCUUCAGCUAUUCGAAUUUAUCUAGCGGCUAUCAUGACAUUCAGUUGGUCUGCCAAAGAUUAUAUCCAUGUUAAGCUCUGAAGACUUGGAAGUUCAAAUACACGGUGUGAAAGUUUUAGCUAAUCUUGGAGGUGAAGGUACAUAACUGUUGUGCUAUGUAGAAUAUUUGACAUCAAACUUUUGGAUAUUUAGAGAAGGUAGAUUUAUAAUUAUGAUUUAAUCCGCUUAGGACCUGUGAAAAUAAUCGUGACUUGAAAAUUGAAAUGCAGACAAAAAUCAAGAACCCAUGGUUGAAGAGAGAGGUUUAUAAGCUCUUCUUAUGUUUUUGCAUCAGGGGCUACUGCCAACUUGGCAAUUACUGGCACGUCAGACAAUUCAUUCUGGGGAAGAUUUCCUCUAGCACAAAAUAAAUCCUCUCUUUUAUCUCUAACAUCUAAACCUUGUAAUACAAAACAAACUUUAAAUUGGAUAGUCUAAAUUGUUUCUACUGAUCUAUUGAUAGGUCUUUUCAUGGCAUUUCAUGGCAUCUCACAAAAUUUAAAAUUUUAUGUAUAGGAUUUAAAAAAAAAUUGAUCUAACUAAUUCUGCUAUUAGGGUUUAAGAGCAGAGAAAUUGAGAGCAAGAGAGAAAUUAAUUACCUUUUAAGCGAGAGAAAUCUCUGAUUGAAGAGAAAGGAGAGAAGAAAGGUUCAGUAAAUGAAGAAAGGUUCAGUAAAUAAAGAAUUCGUCCAGUCAUACCUUAAUUAAUCCCAGUCAUACCUUAUUUAAUCCUAGUCAUACACACCAUCCUAAUCGUUCAGUAAAUUAUAAUCCCAGUCAUACUUUAUUUAAUCCUAGUCAUACUAAUCCAUUCUACUCAUACUAAAUAUUAGUCCUAGUCAAAUUAUGCACCAUUUGCUAAUUAUAAUUUAGAUAUAUGUGGUUCAUUGUCUUUUAUAAUGUUUAGAUACCAUACAUCAGAAUGCAAGUUAAUUAAGUAACAUUCAGUUAAAAAAAAUCUAAAACAAACCAACCCAUUCAUUAGAGUGCUUACUUAAGUAAUCAUGUUGUGCGCAGCGGAGAUUAAUGCACAAAUAUGAUGAUUGAACUAAUAUAUGAAAGUAAAACGAAAAACGACAAAAUAAACAAGCAACCACACACAAGACACAAGAUAUACGUGAUUCGGCAAUAUGCCUACGUCCACGGGGAGAAAUGAUGAUGUUUUUCUUAUAGAAACAAUUGUACAAGCCCUCACGAAGAAACCGAAGUCUUCUUCCUCACAAAAGUUCUUUCAAACUCUCUAAUGGCUUCUCACAAUCUCUCUCUUAGAAAAGUUCAGGUUUUGUAUCACUUCUAUUUGGCUUUAUAGUAUAGCCUUACAAUAGACCACGAAUUGGGCUCAAACAGGCCCAUUUGCACAAAACUAGAGGAGGACGUACGUACGUCUAAAUAACGUACGUACGUUGCAACACGUAAUCGUUAUCUGGCAUAUAUACGGGACGUACGAACGCCCUAACUGCGUACAUACGUUCCUUCUCCACAAAGUUGUCUGUCACACUGAACGUACGAACGCCCUAACUGCGUACAUACGUUCCUGUACAAAAAACUUCCCUCCGUCUGAUUUUGCACAUAAAACCCAACAAAUCACUCAUCCUUCGGAGUGCUUACUCAACUAAUCACUCAUACAUAGUGUAUAUAUAUAUACAAACACAAGGGCUCAGGUAUGGCUCGUCCGCAUACGGACUGAGGGCAAGCAAGGUAAAGAAAUUAACUGAUUAGUAAAAUUGUGACACAUGAGGAAGAGGAUUUCACCUGGUUUUCCACUUGGAUUAUGAAAAGAAGAAAGAGUUGGCUUAUCAGAGGAUUUCAGAGUAGUAGAAGAAGAAGAAGAGAGAGAGAGAGAGAGAGAGAGAGAGAGAGAGAGAGAGAGAGAGAGAGAGAGAGAGAGAGAGAGAUUAACCGGGUCCAAGCGGAUCCAAGUGGAAAACCAUAUUUACGACAACUCUUACCAAAAAGUUUAUUUCUUUACCUUGCUUGCCCUUAGUCCGCAUGCGAACGGGUCGUACCUGAGCCCCUCUGUAUAUAUACAGGGAAGCUAAUAAACCAACUCUCGUUUCUCCUCUUCCAGUAGCUACUUUUUAGGGAAUACAUAUAUAUUCUACAAUGAACGAAUAGUUUAUUUUAGCAAACUUAUUAUAAAGAAGAUAAUGCACAGGAAUAAAAUGGAAAAUACAUUAAAAACAGAAUCCAAGAAAUCUCGGUCAAGUCCUGAUUACAAACUAUGUCUUACUAAUAAAGGAAAAAAAAAAACAAUGAAAAUCACGUCCUGAUUUUAUAACAUAAUUUGGUUACGGCAUAAAUUUAUGUUGGACUACGUAUUUGGUGCUAUUUUAAAAGUGCAAAAAUUUCACAUCUUUUUUCUAAUAAACUUAGUAGGGGACCAUGUAUAAUUAUCUCAUACUUACCUAAGGUUUAGGUGGGGGACCAAGCUAGAUUAGUUGGGGACCAUUUAAAUCAAAGAGUAAAUUUGUGAGGGACCAUUCUAAUUAUAGAUGGGUAAAGAUUUGCCUUUUUUGCACCCCAAACAAGAAGCAGGGCCUAAGAGAUAAAACUAGCUAUACCUCAAUUUUUAAUUUAAAAGCUUCAAAAGUGCUGCAACUUUUAAUUUAAAACAAGGGGGGUGUUGCAUCUUUUAAUUAAAAACUGGAGGUAUCACUAAUUACCUCUAAAUUAAAACACACUAAUAAUUGAUUAAGUCACUAAGCAUGAAUAGUAUUUAAGGGUGUGUUUGAUUGCAAGCAUUUUCCCAAUGUAAUGAGAAAAUUUAUGUGUUUUCUCAGUGGACCAGUGGAAAAGGGGCACUAUUUAUGUGUUUGAUUGUUAACUUAAGCAGUGAGAAAAAGAAAAUCGUAUUUUCCCACUGUAUAGCUAUUUUCUCUAUACAGUGAGAAAACAUUUUCUUACCCUCCCCCUUAGAAUUCCAAACUAAUGAGAAAAUGGGGUUAUUUUCCCACUAAAGUGAGAAAAAAGGAUGGUUAAUUCCAAAUUAGUGAGAAAAUAAUUAGAAUUCUCACUAUCAAUCAAACACCAUAUUUGUGCAGAGUGAGAAUGACUUAAAACAUUUUCUUACUUAAGUGUGAAAAUAUUUUAAGUCAGUCCCACUUAAGUGGGAAAACUAUCUUUAAGUCAUUCUCACUCUCAUUUUUUCUCACUCCGCAAUUUUAAGUCAUUCUCACUCUCAUUUUUUCUCACUCCGCAAUCAAACGCAGCCUUAGGGUGUGUUUGAUUGCAAGCAUUUUCCCAAUGUAAUGAGAAAAUUUAUGUGUUUUCUCAGUGGACCAGUGGAAAAGGGGCACUAUUUUUAUGUGUUUGAUUGUUAACUUAAACAGUGAGAAAAAGAAAAUCGUAUUUUUCCACUGUAUAGCUAUUUUCUCUAUACAGUGAGAAAACAUUUUCUUACCCUCCCCCUUAGAAUUCCAAACUAGUGAGAAAAUGGGGUUAGUUUCCCACUAGAGUGAGAAAAAAGGAUGGUUAAUUCCAAAUUAGUGAGAAAAUAAUUAGAAUUCCCACUAUCAAUCAAACACCAUAUUUGUGCAGAGUGAGAAUGACUUAAAACAUUUUCUUACUUAAGUGUGAAAAUAUUUUAAGUCAUUCCCACUUAAGUGGGAAAACUAUCUUUAAGUCAUUCUCACUCUCAUUUUUUCUCACUCCGCAAUCAAACGCAGCCUUAGAAUUCCAAACUAGUGAGAAAAUGGGGUUAUUUUCCCACUAGAGUGAGAAAAAAUGAUGGUUAAUUCCAAAUUAGUAAAAAAAUAAUUAGAAUUCCCACUAUCAAUCAAACACCAUAUUUGUGCAGAGUGAGAAUGACUUAAAACAUUUUCUUACUUAAGUGUGAAAAUAUUUUAAGUCAUUCCCACUUAAGUGGGAAAAGUAUCUUUAAGUCUGACGUAGCGGAAGCGAUUAAAAAUCAAACCUUGAAUAACCCAAGGGGAGGAUUGCCUUGAAACAAGGAAGAACUAAAACAAAACUAAAGAAAAAUAAAUUGUAGAGACAAAUCUUAAUUGUAUUGAUUGAAUAAUUGAAUUGGUUCUACAAACCAUGACUCUUUAUAUAGACUAAAGACUAAGACCAACUAGCACUAGGACUUCCUAAACAAAGAAAUCAAAAUACAAAUCCUACUUUGAAUUGUAUUACUAAUAUCAACUUAGUAGUAAACCAACUAUUCUAAAACUUCUAGACUCUAAAUUAGAAAUUACUAAUUAAGAUAAAAAGAAAAUAAAAAAAAUAAAUUUCUGACGAUGAUGUCAGCCUUGUUGGUGAUGACGUCAGCAAUGACGUCAGCACUGUUCUGCAUCAGUCCCCUCUUCUUUAAAAGAACUCGUCCUCGAGUUAGAAGUAUCAUCAGCAUGAAAAGGAUAGAUAUCUUUGACAUUGAAGAUCUUGGAAAUAUGCAUGUCACUCGGAAGAUCGACAAUAUAAGCAUUGUCAUUGAUCUUGCGAAGAAUCUUUAGGGGACCAAUCUUCUUCAUUUUCAACUUGUUGUAAGUACCUACUGGAAAUCUCUCCUUACGCAAAUGCACCAUUACUAAGUCUCCAACUUCGAAUGUUUGAGAACGACGAUGUUUGUCAGCAUCUUCCUUGUAAUGAGUAUUAGAAUUCUCAAUAUUCUUCUUGACUGUGUCGUGAAGCUGAGUCAUACUAUCAACCAUUGCAUCUGCAUCAAAAUUCAUACCUGAAACCUUAGGCAAAGAGACAAGGUCAAGGGUAUGAUUGGGAACUUUAGCAUAGACAAUUUGAAAAGGAGAAUAUCCUGUAGUACGACUCUUUGAGGUAUUGUAAGCAAACUCGGCUUGAGGCAAAGCAAGAUCCCAUUGUUUUGGUUUGUCACCAGAGAGACAACGAAUCAAAUUUCCCAAUGUUCGAUUCACAACUUUAGUUUGACUAUCAGUUUGUGGGUGAGAAGUACUACUAAAUUUCAAGGAAGUGCCAAGUCUCAUCCACAAAGCCUUCCAGAAGUAACUUAAAAAUUUGGUGUCACGGUCUGAAGUAAUAGAUUUUGGAACUCUAUGUAAACGAACAAUUUCCUUGAAGAAUAAAGUAGCAAUAUUGGAAGCAUCCGAUGUCUUCUUGCAAGGAAUAAAAUGAGCCAUCUUGGAGAACCUAUCUACAACAACCAUAACCGAAUCAACAGCUCUUUGAGUCCGAGGGAGACCCAAGAUAAAAUCCAUAGAAACAUCAACCCAUGGUGCAUCAGGAACCGGUAAUGGUAUGUACAAGCCAGUAUUUUGAGAUUGACCUUUUGCGGUUUCACAAGUAUAACACCGCUGAAUGAGAUUACCAACAUCUCUUUUUAGGGAUGGCCAAUAAUACCUUUCUUCAAUCGAAGCAAUAGUCUUGUCACGACCCAUGUGACCUGCGAGACCUCCAGCAUGCAUUUCACGAAUGAUAUGUUCUCUAAGGGAGCCCUGAGGAAUGCACAAGUGAUUUCCCUUGAAAAGAAAACCAUCCUGAAUAAGGAAAUCAUCUGUACCAGAUUGAUUUUGAGAGCAUUUAAUCCACAUAUCUGAAAAAUCGGGAUCAUCAUCAUAUAAAUCCUUCAAAUAAUCAAACCCAACAAUAUCAGUGUUGACUGUAACGAGCAAAGAAGCUCUUCGACUGAGGGCAUCAGCUACUUUGUUUUGUUGACCUGAUUUGUGCUUAAUCACAAAAGUGUAUUUGUCAAUUGUGUCUUUCCAUCUGUCGUGCUUUCGAUUUGUCUUGGAACUGCUUUGAAGGAAUUGCAAAGCUUGGUGGUCAGUGUAGAGAAUAAAUUCCCGAUGGAUCAGAUAGUGAUGCCAAUGACGCAAUGUUUGAACCAACGCAAAGAGUUCCAAUUGAUAAGUAGACCAUUUCUUUCGAGCAUCAUUAAGUUUCUCACUAAAAAAUGCAAGAGGCUUACCUUUUUGAGAAAGAACAGCGCCAAUACCCAUGAUGGAAGCAUCACAAUCUACUUCAAAAAUCCUGGAAAAAUCAGGUAGAGCGAGAACCAGGGCUGUAGAAAGUUUGUCUUUAAGUAAGUUAAAACUUUUGUCGGCUUCUUCAGUCCAUUCAAAUUUAGUACCUCGCAUACAAUGUGUCAAAGGAGCUGCAAUAGAGCUGAAGUUCUUGACAAAACGUCGGUAAAAAGUAGCCAAACCAUGGAAAGAACGAACAUCAUGAAUUGUACGAGGUGUAGGCCAUUCUCGUAUUGCUUUCACCUUGUCUUCAUCAACAUGUAUACCUGAAGCACUUACAAUGUAGCCAAGAAAAAGAAUCCGGUCUGUCAUGAAAUCACACUUCUUGAUGUUGAUGAGAAGCAAAUUAUCAUAGAGAACCUUGAAGAUUUCCCAAAGAUGACACAUGUGUUGUUGCUCAUUCUGACUAUAAAUUAAUAUGUCAUCAAAAUAUACGACAAUGAACUUUCCAAUGAGAGGCUGCAACACUUUAGUCAUCAAACGCAUAAAUGUACUUGGGGCAUUUGACAAACCAAAAGGCAUUACCAUCCAUUCAUAAAGACCAUCCUUUGUCUUGAAAGCAGUUUUCCAUUCAUCUCCUGGUCGUAUGCGGAUUUGAUGAUAACCACUCUUUAAAUCAAUCUUAGAGAACACUUUAGAACCAAUAAGCAUAUCAAGCAUAUCAUCCAAGCGAGGAAUAGGAAACCCGUAGCGAAUGGUAAUUUGGUUGAUUGCACGACUAUCAACACAUAUACGCCAAGAACCAUCUUUCUUUAGCACAAGCAAAGCAGGAACUGCACAAGGACUCAUACUAGGGCGAAUGAGGCCUUUCUCGAGUAAAUCAUUAACUUGGCGUCGAAGCUCUUCAUGUUCUUUAGGUGCCAUACGAUAGUGGGGAAGAUUGGGAAGACUUGCACCAGGCAUCAAAUCAAUGUGAUGUUGAAUAUCACGCAUUGGAGGCAAUGAUGAAGGUAGAUCGGUGGGUAUGAUAGUUUUGAAUUCAUCCAAUAAAGGUUGGACAACCAUGCGAAUUUUUGAUUCUUCUCUCUUUUCUUCCUUAAGUACAAGAGCAUAGAUUGUGUCAGUCUUUUUGAAAUCCUCUUCAUGGUCCUUAGAAAUCAAACAAGUUCGCUCUUCGACUUUAGAAACUUCAUGAACAGGUUUUGGACGCAUAGAACCCAAAGUAUGUUUUUCAUCAUCUUUCUUAAAGGUAAAUGUAUUGGCAUAACAAUCAUACAUAGCACGACGAUCCCAUUCCCAAGGUCGACCAAGUAACAAAUGGCUAGCAUCCAUAUCAAGAACAUCACAAAGAACCUCAUCAUGAUACUUACCAAGAAAAAUUGAACACGACAUUGAGUUGUCACCAUGAGUGAGUGACCAUCCUUAACCCAACCAACGGAAUAAGGCUUAGGAUGUGGAGUCACUGGUAGAUCCAACCUAGUCACCAUAUAAGUAGAAACAUAAUUAUCAUGGGAACCACCAUCAAUAAUCAAAUUAACAGCCUUAUCUUUAACUUGACAACGAGUCUGAAAAAUCCUUUUUCGUUCAGAAUUCACCGGUUGAGAAGGAGCAUAGAGAAGCCUUCGAAUAACACCCAGGAAUGGAGCAUCCACUUCAUAUUGAAUCUCAUUACUAGGUUCACAUUUAUCAUAAUAAUCUUCAUCAUAGUCAUCAUCGCAAUUGUUUUCAUCAUGAUCAAUAAAGUUAACUCUAGACUUGUCUCGUUUUGGACAUUCAUGUUGCUUAUGUCCAGGUUGGCCGCAACGGUAACAAUUGGGCAUGGUAGGGUAAGCAUAUGGAUUGGUUUUGCUUGGUUGGGUGGUUUGUGGAGCUUUGGUAGGUGGAGGUUGAUCAUCGUUGGAAGCAAGUGUGGUUUGAUUGUUUGUAGGAGUGUUGGGUGAAUAGUUAGUGUUUGGAGAAUUUUGAUUAUUGUGGUGUGCAGUAGAUGAUGGUGGAGGGUUGUAGUUGUUGCGACGAUUUGGAUAAGAAGAAGAUGAUGGAGAAGAGUAUGACUUACUAGAAUUCGAGCGGAAACCAUUAUGUUGUUCAAUGUUGAGUGCGAUUUGAAUUGCAUCGGCCAAGGUAGGAAUUGAGUGAAAAAUCUUCUCCACGAUAUUCCUAUUCAAACCAUUACGAAAACGAGUAACUAAUUGAUCUUCACUUUCCACGAUGUUAUUUCGAGAUACCAAGCGAUGAAACUCAGCAGCAUAGUCAUCAACACUACGAGAUCCUUGGCGACACGAUAGCAGUUGGUUGUAUAAAAUUUGCUCAUAAUCCUUAGGCAAGAAACGCUCCAUAAUCAAAGUUUUCAUACGUGCCCAAGAAACAAUAUCCCGCUUAUUAUUCUUUCGACGAUGAGCCUUGAGUUGUUCCCACCAAGCAGAAGCACCUUGUUUGAGUUUAUAUGCCACAAGCUUAACUUGUGCAUGUUCAGGAGUAUUCAUGUACUCAAAGAAAUGCUCAACUUCAUGAAUCCAAUCAAGAGUCUCCUCAAUAUGCAUAUUACCAGUAAAAGUAAGGAGAUCAAUUUUCAUACGAAACUGGUCAGAUUGAGUACGAAAAUUAUUGUUGUGGUGUUGUUGAGGUUGAGGUUGAGGGCAUGCUUGUUGAUAGUAAUUUUCAGCAUCAUCAUCACUAUCAUGAUCAUCAAGAUAAGAAUUUGGUGCUCGAGGGGCGCGACGGUUAUAAGUUUGUUGAAAACGAUUAAUAGGAAGAUUGGGGGGUGGUUGAAAAUUUUGUGUAGUGGGUGGGACAUUGUUGGUUGAAUGUAGGAGUUCGUAGCGAGAUUGAGAUGGAGAAGCAAUAGUCGUAUAAGUGGUGCGAACUUGUGGAGUAUUGGAGAGUUGAGAUGGUUGGGAGUUAUUAUAGGGUUGUUUGUAUGGGUAGGGAUGUGAAAAUAGGUUUUGUGGUGUUUGGGGGCAACCAUGAAUAGGGAGAGAUGUGAAGUCAAUAUUGGAACCUUGUGGUAAAGUUGUGGUGGUGGUGGAAAAUUGGGGUGGUUGAGAUAUAUUGGUCAUAGUAAAGGGUGGGAGGGUGAGAGCAUCAACAAUAGAUUGCUUACCUUCAAACUUAUCAAAUCGAAGAGUAAGUUUAUCGAUUGAAGCGGUGAGACGAUUAAUAGCCGAAUUGAAUUCAACCUUCGUCACAUAAUCUCCAAGAUUACCGACUUGGGAGCGGGGUGAAGAAUCUCCGUCAUUAACCAUUGCAGGAUCGAAACGAAGCUCUUGAUACCAAUUGACGUAGCGGAAGCGAUUAAAAAUCAAACCUUGAAUAACCCAAGGGGAGGAUUGUCUUGAAACAAGGAAGAACUAAAACAAAACUAAAGAAAAAUAAAUUGUAGAGACAAAUCUUAAUUGUAUUGAUUGAAUAAUUGAAUUGGUUCUACAAAGCAUGACUCUUUAUAUAGACUAAAGACUAAGACCAACUAGCACUAGGACUUCCUAAACAAAAAAAAUCAAAAUACAAAUCCUACUUUGAAUUGUAUUACUAAUAUCAACUUAGUAGUAAACCAACUAUUCUAGAACUUCUAGACUCUAAAUUAGAAAUUACUAAAUAAGAUUAAAAAAAAAAAAAAAAAAAAAAAAAAAAAAAAAAAAAAAAAAAAAAAAAAAAAAAAUUUU
rnacentral:lncRNA from 1 species